rnacentral:lncRNA from 1 species
UUUUUCCAACGUGUCUGGAGUGACCAACGAGGAGAAAAAGAACCAUAAGCAAAACAAGAUAUCAUGCUUGAAGAAUCACUUUCAAGCUAUAAAUUUUGCCAACCCAGGGCGUGAGCCAACUCCACAGCAAGGAUGACAGUAUGAAGCUAUGCACAAAAAGAGGUACGAUGCCCCAAGCUCAGGAAAAAUCACCAAGAAAAUAACUUGUAGAAUCUCGGAAAAUCCUACCACAUGCCGCAGGACCCAGGUUACCUUUAGCAAGGCCAUCAAUAUUCACUUUGACAUAAGAAAAUGGAGGGGGAUGCCAAAAAACAAAGUCUAUAAAAGAAGCUUUACAGGACUCAAUCGAGAUUUUAAGAGAGGCUAAAAGUUGCUUAUCUAAAAUAAUAUCCAGCAGGACCCGGGUAACUACUUUGUGAUCUUUCUUUAGCCUCUGCCUAAUUUUCACCAAGUUUGGCACAUGGCAGCUCUGGCACUUUCAGAGAGGUUACAUUUUCGAUUAGCGUUUUGCUUCCCCUACAGAAAAGCCAAUGCCAAAUUUGACCGUUGCAAUCUUUAGGAUCUCAAAACAAAUACAGCUAUGCCGCUAAUUCCCUAAGGGAGUUUGUUUGAACGGGAGCUCUCCUACCGGAUAAACAUCAAAGUUUCAAAGCCCUGAUCUUCUUCUUAAUCUUCCAGCCGUGACGAGGCUUGACUGGUAGCUUAGGUGCCGAAGUGCCGCAUCCAAGGCAUGAGAUGAGAGAGUGGUGAAGAAAUUCAUUAUAAUUUGAAUUUGUAAAGUGGAAAACAAGCGUCUCAGAAUAAAUUUAAACAAAAAAGACAAAGUAAAAUGUGGAUAACAUUCGAAUUCAUUUGUCGCUGCCACGCGCAGAAUAAUGUUCACAUCAGAUAGUUCAAUUUCUAAGAACAUAAACCGAUGGAUACAUCUUACAUCAUGUGUGCAUGCUUGGCCAUAACGCUGCUCUUUCACUUGGAGUUACUAGUCUGGAAGAGGAAGGUGAUUUGAAGAUUCUAAUUGAUGCAAUUAACGGGACGUGUUCUAUUCCUUGGCAUCUCACUGCCUUGGUGUUCAAUAUUUAGAGGACCGCUUGUAACUUCCAGCUGAAUAUAUACUUUCGUCAUAUCUAUCUGGAAGCUAAUUCAUUUAGUUGUCGAUGUGUUAGCUAGAAUUGGGCAUCUAUCUCAUGAGUGUUAGUCUUGGACCUUGGUGGUACACUCUCCCGUGCUGCUUGGUUUUGGGACUUAUGUUGUAAUUCUUGCCCAAGGGGCUUCUCUUUGUAACUGUUCUUUCCUAUAUAUAUAAAAAAGCAUAUCUCCUUAGAUGUUUUCUUUUUCUGAAAAACAAUGUAAUGAUCAUGGGACAAAUAAACAGGACGAAACAAUUCCAAUAACAAACAUAGGAUCCUCCACCAUAAGACGACCAUGUUGAAUAUAAUCAUCAUAUAAAAUAUGGCAAGGACAAGGACAAGAACAAGGAGAAGGGCGGAUAUGAUCAUCCAAACAAUAUAGUAUGGAUGAAGCAGACUAACAAACAAGUAAGAACAACAAAAGGAGAGGAAGGGUACCUCUGUCUUUAACAAAGGGUUCAAGGAAAGGGAAACAAUUGAGACCCAACCAAUUCGUCAAGGUGAUAGGGCGACUUCAUAAAAAUUCAUAAUAACCAAGGUGACAAUGGUAUAAUUGGUAUAUGUGCAGCAUUCAGAUGGCCAUGGUCUCCCUACUGAUACGAUCCUCAUAACCCUGGCCAAAGAAAAUAAUUAGAAAACAUGACUCAGGAGAGAAAUAACAAGACCAUCACGAGUUAGGAAAUUCUCUUCUAAAACAGCUUCCACCAACGAAAAACGUUAUUGCAGAUGUUUAACUGAACAUAGCAAUGAAAAAAUAUCAUAGGUCAGAAGUUAAUAGUUUACACCCAUUUUUCAAACAUGGUGGUUGUUUGUUUUGAACCUACACUAGGUUCACCUUAUAUCAGCAGUUUUCCAGUCACACCAGCAAACAUUAGAUAUUUAUAGUUUACGCCCAUUUAUAAUAUGAUAGUUAAUUAGAGAAAUUGUAUAGUUGAAUAAAUGUGCGUAUGCAUGCAAUAUUCAGCGUUAACUUAACAACCACGUAUGCGAGCUUACGUAGUUAUCGUUACCUGCUCUUAUCUUGUAAUCAUGAUAUAACUAAUUAGUCACAUAGUGAGACUUCAAAUUAUAGCAACUCAAAAAACAAUUCAAAUCCAAAUCCUUCAAUCCCAAUAGAAGAAUAACAAGAGAGGAAUGGUACGUACGGUACUGUGCAUGGGUGAUUAAAUGUUAAGAUAAUUUGGAUUAAUUGUCACGGGUGGCAACCACGUGACUUUGCUACUCUUGAAAAGACUUUUUGGGUCUACUUUGCAAUGGGAAAAAGCACCCAACAACUAGAACUAAAACUAAUGGGCCGGUUUGAAAUGCUCCUUUACAAAACACUUCAACUUUAAAAAAAAAAAAAUUUGCUUAAUACUUAAAAGUGCUUUUAAUAUCCACUCAAUAUUACGGUGGUAUUCUUUUUCACUUAAAAGUGAUAGGUUUAAGUUCGAAUCCCGUGGAUGGCAAAUUCAAUAUCAAAUUAGGUUGCUCAUUAUGUAGAUUAACCGAACUCUCAUUUCCUUUAAUGUAAAAAUAUAUCGAUGUACUAAAAAAAAUGCUUUCAAUACAUAAAACCACAAAUGCUUCUUAAAAAUCCAUCUAAUGCUAUCUUUAGAAACUGCACAUUAGUUUUUUUUUUUUCAAAAAACACUUCAAAUGUAUUUUUCAACUAUAAACACUUUUAACAUUUUUCAAUCUGUAUUCGAAUCAUUGUAAUUCUAUUCAUUUACCACGAGUUCCACUUACAAAUCUGCUAUCCGAUAGUAGUUGAUCUCGUUCAUAUUCCUUACUUUCUUUUCCUAGUUCACGACUUUCUCUGUUCUAAAUAAGUAAACACAUUGAAACUGAAUACUUAAAAAAAAUAAAAAUAAAGACAUGUUGGUUUAUUUGAACUUGAAAUGGCCUAAACACCCAUACAUACCGAGCGUUGCAAAAUGACAAAACAACCCUUCGUUAAUGGUGGAGGGCCCACUCUUGUCCUUUGUAGGUAAAAGGCUAAAUUAUAAUUGUAACGCAAAACCGCAGCAGUGACGAACCGUUUCUCAAUUUCGUCGUUCUUCCGAGAAAUUUUUUGGUGUGACUGUCAUACGAAAUAAUACAUUACGUGUCCUUAUAUAAAUGAUGAAUUAUGUGUUUUAAAAGGUUAAUAACUUAAAAAUUAAAAUUUUUCAUCACUUACGUAAAAACACGUGAUAUACCAUCCGUGUUCAUGUUACAACUAAAAAUUUCUCCUCCUCCCCUCUCUCUCUUAAAUGGCUAUUCCCCCAAAUACCAUUUCAGUCCCUCCAAAAAAACAACCACAGGGUGGGGACUGAGGAGAGAGACCGGGUUUUUUCUUGUGUGUUCUUCUUCAGAGAAAACACCAAGAAAUCAGAAUCAUCACACCACCUUGAGUAAGAAUCAAGCUUUCGCAUUUCCCUGUUUGAUUCCAUCGAUUUUUUUUCUGAUUUUUCGUAGAAAAUCUUGAGGCUUUCUUUUUGGUAACGAAAAAAGUUUCUGAAUUUUCUCGGCCGCUGAUACCAAAUCCUCUGCUUGUUUUAUAUUCUGGGAUCUUUUUUUUGAUCUGGGUUUCGAUAUCUUGUGUUAUUUCUCCAGAUUCUCUCUUGUUCUAGCCCUCUCUGCUUGCAAGUUGCAAAAGAUAAGGUUUUUUUUUGGGAGAAAACAGAGGAGGUUGGCACAGAGGAUAUAUGUCUUCUAGAUUUUAUCUGUCGACUGGAGCUCCGAAGAAGCUCUGGAAAUCUUAUCAGCCUCUCUUUUGCAUGCACAAACAGAUUUCAUCUGUUUUUUCCAUGCCAUUAAAAUCACAAAGACAGAGGUAUGUGGGUUUAAUUUAUUACUCUCUUGCGUUUAAUAUUAUGUGUUUUCAGUUUUCAAUUUUUAUGAUAUUUAAUGUAUGUAUGAACAUCAAUAUUAGUGCUUUGUGGAAUUUUGUUUGAUGGGUUUUUUGUUUUAGGGGUUUUUGAUGGGUUUAAGGUCUUUGAUUUGUUGUAAUUUUUGUUUUCGUUGAUGCAAUUGGUGCAGGAGUUGUUCUGGAGUGAAGUGCUUUAAGGAUUGUUUCAGAAUACAAUUUUCGAUUUCGAUUUCUGGACUCGAGUUUUUGAGGGUUUUGGGUUUUUCUUGAUACCGAGUUCUGAACUUUUGAGAGAAUUUUUGUUUUCUUUUUCUUGUUUUCGGGUAUAGGGGGUUUAGGGGUUUUAAGUUCAAAAUGCCGGGGAUGAAAACCGUAAUCUUGAAUCAACAUGUGAGCUGGAACAAAUUGAAGAAAAAGCAACCUACCGUAGAGGAGAAUGCAGGUUACAUGAAGAGAAUUCGGAUUAUAUACAAUGAUCCUGAUGGUACCGACUCUUCGAGUGAAGAUGAUGAGGAAUAUGACAUUGAGGGAAACCUAUUUCAGCAUAGUAAGCGCUUUGUUUCGGAGAUUUUGGUUGUGGAAACAGAAUGUGAAUCAUCUGCAGGGACCAAUGGAGGCAGAAUUGGUCAUAGUACGGACUUUGAUGACUCUAAGAAAAGUAAUAGACUGCUCCCUAAGGGAGUUCGACGCAGAAAAUGGGGAAAAUAUGCUGCGGAGAUUCGAGAUCCAAUUCAAGGAAUUCGAAAAUGGCUUGGCACUUUUAAUACAGCAGAGGAGGCUGCUGCUGCAUAUCAACAAAAGAAGCGUGAGUUUCAGACCAUACAGUCACAGCGAAGGACUAAGAGCCACUGUGAAAACAUGCCAUUAUCAGAUAAGCAUGAGUUUGAGAGUAUGCAAUUAACGGAGGGAGACAAGCAUGGGCUUCAAGGCGUUCCUUUAUCAGAGGAGAGUCAGGAUUCAUCGUUUUGCCAUCCAUCACCAUCAUCUGUGCUUGAAAUGUCUGGUUCAGCUGCGCUUUGUUUUGGACUCGAAAGGUCGAAAGAAGAAUCUGGGGUGGAAGUUUCUGGGGGACAAGGCACUCUACAGCAACCAGUUUUUGAAGAAGAAGAAUCCAUUCCAAUGUUGCCUCCAAUGUUGCCACCGUUAGAUGUCGAACAGUUGAAUUUGGGAUGCGGCGACAAUUACGUGUUUUCUAGCUUGGAUCAGUUCUUUGAUGGCAUGUGUGAUAUUGUUGAUGAUGGUAUGACAGACAUAGUUGAUUAUCCCGCGUGCAAGGAUAAAAAAGGCGAGGCUACGUGUCUUCCCCCUCUCGACUUCAAUUUUGGUCAGCAGGAUUUCUCCUGGAUUGAUCAGAAACUGGAACACGGUAAGCCAUGAAGUUUUGUAGUUAGGAAUUACCAGUAGUUUAUCUAGUACAUGUUGCACAAUAAAAUGCUCAAGAAAUGUUUUAGCAGCGGUGUUUAGGGUUAAUCGUUUUCUAUGUUCGGAGAGAGUUCUUGGGUUUUCACUGUGCUUUUCAGCCGUCCAAGAUUUUUCCAACUCUCAGACUCAGAGUGGUAAUAUGUUUGAGUAAGCUAUUAUCUACUGAAACCUUUGUGUACUCCUUUUCUAUUUGUAUUAAUGACAAGUCCGUUUAGUCAAAUGCGUCAAACUGUGAUUUCCAGAUAAGUGGAAACGACUCUGUACUACAAACACAGAGCGAAUUGAUGUCGAUUCUCAAAGGUAAAGUUGCUUUGCCAAAUUUUGAAGAGAAGAUAAUACUGACAUGGCAGACAAGGAUCAUGUAACAUAGGAAGAGACAACAACAGUGGCUUUGGAUUAGCGUAUAGUGCGAGUCUUAGGAGGCGUGUCGUUUAAGGAUAAUUAUAUGGCCAGGAAAGGCGGCUAAUUGAAGUUAAGCUUUCACUUUCAAUUGAAACCAUCAUUUCGCCGGCCCGGUUCAAUUUCGAGGAAAAAAUCCUCGCCGGAUCAUUUUCUUAAGGAUCUUGUGAUCGUGACCGUUCAUCGUACAUUGUACAAUUAGUUUUCGUUAAGUACUAUUUAUAUUUAAUUUUAAAUUUUAAACUUUGAAAUUAUUUUUUACCGCACGAUGUACGAUGAACGGUCACGAUCACAGGAUUCUUAGGAUCCCCAAGAAAAGAAUCCGGCGAUGAUUCUUUUCCCAAUUUCGAUGGGUCCGAAAGCCACAUUCAUAACAAUAUAAAGCUGACCAAGUCCAUUGUGAAAAUUGGAAAAAAAAUUGAUAUCGAAAAGUAAUUGUUGAAUUCAAAAGGAAAUGCGAUUACGACAUGUCCUGCUUUGUUACAAGUCCUCGAUAACUCUACAAGUUAUAAGAAAAACACUUCAAGCCCGAAAUUAGCUUGACUCAAUCCAACAAACAAUAAAAACCCGAUACGGAAAUAUACAUUUUCAAAAUCCGAAUUAUUUUUCAACUCCCCGAAAAAACUAGGAGCACAGUAAAUGUGCAGAAGCCCCGUAAACAUUACAGCCAUUGGAACUUGACACGGAACAAAACGUUUAGAACGUACCCUCCCCAGGCUACAGCUUGAGUAGGGACUUCAGUACUGCUAUCAUUGACGAAAAGCCAGUUCGCAUACAACAGCAAGAUGAUCGCUGCCCCAUUGCUGCAAAGCAAAACCGAAACUUGAGAGAAAUACACAACACCUUACUACCUUAUCACACUUCCAAGUUUUCAGGAGAAUUUCUGAGUAGUUCACUUGUUUAUCGGUCUGUUCACUUUUCUACAGUACUGAACAUAGUGAAGAAGCUUAUGAUGCUCUAACUCAAACAAUUGUUUAAUUCUCCUUUAAAGCAAGCUAAGUGACUGAUAAAGCAUAAAUAAUUGGAGAUAGAAAGUUACCUUGCUGGGGAGUCCUCCAUCUCUUCUUAAAGCAUUGACUGGUAAGGUUUCAAGAACUCUGACAGGAACAAGUUCCUCGGUAUGCCUGUCACUCAGCGACCAAAAGUAUUUAAGUACAAAGCACAAAACAGUAACACUCAGCCUGUUAGAAUUUAAUGAAAUUCCGGACAAUAGACCGACCGAAAAACAAAAAGGCAUACCAAAUAUAAUCAACGGUUCCCAUAAACUCGGAGUGGUAUGAUGUUGCCAAGGGUUCUCCAGACCUAUCUCUGGUUCUACAACUACCCUGCAGAAAGGCACAUACAUACAGCAUUGGGAAAAAGAUAAUUGGAUUUAAGCAUCGAAAUUUUUUUAAGUAGAAAUGAUUUAAGACUUACAGGUACUCCCAGGUAUGCACUGCAAAGCUUCAAAUUGUGCCGAAGACAAGUGACUACUUCACUGCCAGUUGCAAGCCUUACUUCUUCCUCGCUCCAUAUAUAUGAAAAUGGCCUAAUAAAAAAUUUUGUAAUACCGCAUCCACAAUACAGAAUUCAGUUAGAACUUUUUUUAAAAGAAAAAAAAAAAAGUUCUUUAUCUGCAGUGCAUGUUGUUUGUACCAUACUUGACAAAUCCUGAAACUACCGAGCACCGGUCAACGUUAUACCGUCAAGGACCCAUAAGAGUUUCCCUCCAACCAGGAGGCCAAUCACAGCGCGACACAUGUCGACAUCAGAAGCCAAUCAUAGCGCGACACGUGUCAACAUAAAAAACCAAUCACAACUCGACACGUGUCAAUGUCAAAACAAAGCUAGAAACUCUCUUCUAUAAAAGGAGAUCAUUCUCCCACAAUAUUUCCUAAUGUCAUUUGUACUAAAUCAUUCACUAGUACUCACUAAAGGAGAGCUUGAACCUAUGUACUUGUGUAAACCCUUCACAAUUAAUGAGAAUUCCUCUACUCCGUGGAUGUAGCCAAUCUGGGUGAACCACAUACAUCUUGUGUUUGCUUCCCUAUCUCUAUCCAUUUACAUACUUAUCCACACUAGUGACCGAAGCAAUCUAGCGAAGGUCACAAACUUAACACUUUCUGUUUUACCAAAGUCCUCACUAAUUUUGUGCAUCAACACAUGUCAUAUGAGAGGUCAAGGAAACAAUAACUUAUGUCAUCCUGCUUUCACUUAAGCAGUUAACCGGAAAUUUCAAAAAAAUGGAUCUCCCGGGUUCUCACCAAACCAAAGGGAGUUUAACAAAAAAUAAAGAGAAAAGGAAGACUACUGAAUUCCAUAAAGUUAUAAACCAAUUAUAUCUAAUUUUAGGUGAUAAAUGCACUAGUCAUAUUGCUUGUACAUGUUCUAAUGCGACAUUUGAGGUAACUAUUCAUACACUGAAGUACCUGCUUGCUUGCUCAUUCUGAAAUCUGAAGCCUCUGUGAUUCGAGUUCAGGACAAACUGUCCGGAUAUACCUCUGCGGUCAUGUAGUCGGAUGUCCAACUGCAAUAAACCACAGCAAGAACAGCAUAACAUAAACUGAAACCCAUACAAAAAGGAGGGGAAAAAAAAAGACGACAAAGAAACAGAGGGGGAAAGCAGGAGAAGCCAAAAUGGAAUCACCUCAGAAGAAGCUAGGAAAUGGUACAUAGGACUCUGAACAUUUGACGAACCAAAAAAUUCGGUGUAAGUGACGUGGACCAUCUGAAUCAAACAUGCUUAAUAAACGAUAUCAUUGCAGGAAGUCACCUGUGGGAUGCUAUUUAGAUCUCCCGAAAUUAUAACAGGGAUGCUGCCCCACUCUUGUGAUAGCUCGUAAGCUUUUUUAAGAAACAGUCGGACCUAAUGCAUGAUCACAUUUGAGAUAUAUUACAAACUAUGCUGUACAGUCCCAUUUCUGAAAAAAACAUAGUAGAGAAUACCUGCCCUAGCUUGAUAUCUCCACGUUUUGGGUUGAAUAGUAGAUGUGUAUUCCCAAUCACUAAGCUUCUACUUUGGGUGUAUGGACUCCUGUAUGAUGUGAAAUAACCCACCAAUAUGUGAAGUAAAACCAAAUCCUAUACAAAAUAUGCAAACAGGACAGAAAGAAAACUUAUACUCACGUUCCGGGAGGUAUGCCUGACUCUAAUUGAUUUUGGUUACUCUGCAUUUUCAACAAACAAAAACAAUGUCUAGUGUAGCUAAGCAACAAUAGUAAAAUGGAAACAAGACAAUUGGCAGCACAAAGGGGUUCGUCGAAGUCAUAGAUUUAGAAGAUCACACUGGAAAUCAUAAUUUUACCAUGUGACAAGGCAUGUUUUACAUGGCUAGAUAAGGCCCAUAAGGGUAACAUUCAAACCUAAGUACCUAACCACAGAGAAGUGCACAUUUAAAAAAAUGUGAUGCUUGAUGCUACAGGAGCAAACCAUCAUGCCACCAUGACAUGACACAUCAAUAUGAAUUUCAACUAAUGAAUUAGCACCCCUUAGAAGAAAGUAAUGCCCCAUAUACCUUUAAUACACAAAGUUGAGCAACAUUGUUACGAAGUCCAAAACUUUGGAACUCUAUAUUUUCUUCAUGUAAAAGGCUAAACCUGCAUUCAGAAAAUCAUUGGCUAAAAGCUGGAAUAGAAAGAAACUAAAUUGAUAAUAAACAAGAAAUGACAAGUUAUACAAACAUACAAUACCAACAUGAUCGUAACUAAUGAAAAUUAGAUAGGAUAUAUAAUUCAAAUGCAGUCAUCAAACAUGUUUCUCAAGAAACUAUAAAACCACAACUAAUAUAAUAAAUAUCAAAGGAAAAACCAUCUAGCUAGUCAUAAAGAAGUAACAACAUAUUUGAUUUGAGGAGAAACAAGAUUGGAUAUGAACUGAUCUGUCAUUUGAACUUAGAAGUCAAAGCAACGUGCAGAAAUUUUACAAUUUUCGAAAGGUCAACUAAACCAUACAUUUCCUUUUUCCAAAAUAUGGCGCAUCCAUCAUUUGCUUCACCCGUGCGCGCCUAGGGAUAGUUGGUAAUCAUUAAUCAGAAUGUAUGCCAAUAAGAAGGUACUUGACAAUGGUAAGUGAUUACAUACUUGGAAAAGAAAAUUCAAAGCUACCUUAUAAACACCUUCGAACCCAUCUUUCUGGAAAAGAUGAGCUAAAUCAUCGAAACGAUCAACCUCCUACAGCCAUACAAGUAACAUAUUAUUAACUUAAAAUUAAGUGAAACAAUAAAGAUUCACACUUUAGCCAACACAUCAUAUCUACAUUGCCAAACUCUUCGACUUUACCUGCAAGCACAUGAUGCUAGCAUUGUAACGAUUGAUCUCCUUCCGAAUAAGCUUCCGGCGGCGGUUCCACUCCAAGAACAUGGGUGGGACUUUGUAGUACAACUCUGGGUGCUUGGAUGCAUUUUCCACACCCAGAAUGUUAUAAGAAACAACCACAAAUUUCUCUGGACACCACAACAUUCAAAAAAAUUAGCACAAUGCCUUGUUUGGCUGAGCAAUCCAAACAGCUAAUUGCAGUAACAAACAAUCCUAAGCGAACUCAAUUAAAGUCAAAUUAGCCAAACAAGGCAUUUGAAAAUUGGAUAUUUGUUUACCUCCAUAGGUGGAAGCAGAGGAGCUGCAGGGAGAAGAAGCCCACUCCCGGGAGCUCUCUGUCUCGGUUCGACUCGGUUGCCGCUUCGUGUGCUUCCGAUACGAAGGCGAUACAAAUUGGAACCUGGAUGACGACGGCGGCGGUGGCGGGUCGGAUUCUCGGGUUAGGGUUUUAGAUUCGGACUUCACUCUUCUGCGACGCCGCCUUUCGUGAGGCGGAGAGUGAGGGUGGUUCUCUGCGGCUUCUGUGUUGUGUGAAUGUUGCUUGCGCUUACGCCGCCGUACAUCGCCCGUUUCUUCCAUUCUGCCUAACUUUUUAGUUUUGGAAGCGGUGGCGGGAAGUAGGAACGCGCUCAAUUUGUGGUACGCGCUGCCAUGGUGAGAAUGGGGGUGGUUGCUCCGAAAUUCAGUUAACGGCGUUUAAGAGGAGGAGAAAGGGAUAGAUGUCCAAUGAAGUUAAAUGGCCCAAUAAAAUGUUCAAGAUCUCAGCCCAAUUUUUAUAACAAUUCAUUAGAUAUUGACAAAGACUUUUACAAUGUAAACAAGAGAAAUGCUAAAAAGACCCUUUAAUUGAAAAUUUUACUUUUUGUUAUUUUACUGUUUAACGUUAAUUUUUAUAUCAAUAUUAUAAAAUAUUAUGUCAAAACAUGAGAUGAUAGCGAGUCCAUAAAUAGUCUCGCUUUUGAAAAAAUUUCUUUAGCAUUUACUAGUUAGUUUCACCCAAUUUUAUUUGGAACGAGAUAAAUUUGGAGGCAGAUUGUCUGCUUUCCUGUUUGGAUGCCCUUCUCAUUCCCUUCUAUUUAUGCGGUCACGGUUAAGUCACGUUAACAUUUUAUAUUCUUAUUGCUUUUUGUCUUAUUAUCUCUAUAAAAAAAAUUGAUAUAAAAUGUUGACAUGGCUUAACCGUGACCGCAUAAAUAAAAGAGGAUGGGAAUAUCACUCAAAUAGAAGGGCAGACAAUCUGCCUCUGAUAAAUUUAGCAGUACCUCCUAAGCUUACCACUUUCCUCUUUCCAAUUAUAUCCCUCCACUUUUAACUGAGCUAUGAAAUCAUGGACUUUUUAAUCGUAUGAUUUCUCCUAUCGUUCUGUAAGUCUCAAAUUAUGUUCUUGCAAUGAAGUAGAAAGUGUGGAACUACAAUUUUCUUCCGUAAUUUGGACCAUUGAGUAGUUUUGAAAAUGGACGGUGAAGUUGACUCUAAAAAAUCAAAGUAUUUAAUAGUCUAAACUAACAAAAUAUGUGAUACUUAUGAUUGUUUGCAAAAAAAAUGACAUAUUUUGAAAGUUAAAAGAGAUCAAAGCUAAGGGUGCAUUUUUGCUCAUUCAAGUGGUUGUAAUGUUAACCAUCCUACUUAUUACUAUUAAAUGAGUUUAAAUUUUAAGAUUUUUAUCUAUCCACUACACAAAUCUUGAAAUUUAAACUCAUCUAAUAAUAAAAAAUAAAAUGAUGAAUUUCACCAUUACUUAAGCGUGAUGGGUACAAAUAUUUUCCAAAACUAAAUUAAAAUUGAAUCAACUAAUCCUUUUGAGUUCGUAUAAUGGAAGAACUCAUUUCAACGGCUAUUGCUCAUGGUGGCACUCAAGGGCCAAAGACUGGUUGGUCCAAAUGUCCAAUAGCCUAAGAAAUAAUUAAAGAAUCACACAUUGGUCUGCGCAACACCAACUUUCUCUCACUCUCAUUAAUUUAUGAUGUGUACUCCCAACAACUUCACUCCACUCGAAAUUAAAUUAAUCGACCAAAUUUUUUGAAAAAUUGGACAAAGAUAUGAUCUUUCCAACUAUUUUCAACAAACCCACCCAAGCAGAUUUACAAGAUGAGAUCAAAUCACCUAGUACUAGUACUUCUGCAACUUUUAUUCAUCUUCUCCAUUAGUCUAGCAAAUGCCAAGUCCACCAUAGAACCAUGUUCCUCCGCAGACUCCUGCUCCUCCCUCCUCUCCUACAUCCUCCCAUGGGACUCGAAACUCUCCGAAAUCGCCUUCCGCUUCCAACUAAACGUCUUCGACGUCCUGGCCGCCAACUCCAUCAACUUAACCAUUCCGUUCCUUGGAAACCAAAUUAUGAAAGCGAAAACCCUACUAAAGAUUCCCAUUUCGUGUCCAUGCGUGGACGGCAUCAGGAAGUCCGUUUUAACCUAUACCGUCCACGCGGUGGACACGUUGGAUCUGAUAGCGGAAGGGUACAGCGGGCUCGUGAGCGCCGAGCAGAUUAGGACUGUGAACGGGAUAGGCGCCAAGAAUCCGUUGACGGGCGGGCAGAGCGUUUGGUGCAGUUGCCAUGCACGUGCUUUAAUAAUAGUAACAACGGGGUUGCUUCUGUGUACAUGUCGUAUGUGGUGCAGAGUGGGGAGAGCUUGAGCGGCAUUGGCGGAGAGUUUGGAGCGACUGUGAUGGAGUUGGUGAGCAUCAAUGGGCUCGAUCAACCGUUGGUUGAUCCUGGUGACAUAUUGGCUAUUCCAAUUUCAGGUUAGUAGAAUUUCAAUGAAAUUGGUUUUUAAUACAAGCGAUAAUAUGUAAUACAGAGAAUUGAACUUAAGACUUCAAAUGCAAAGAUAAUUGUUACAACGAUGUCAUUCCAAUUUUUAUUGAAAUUUAGGGAGUGUAUUCAAUUGAGAAUUUGAGAGAUUUUAAUGGACUUACAAAUCCAUAGAUUUUUAUGAAGUCUGUGUUUGUUGGUUGUUAAGAUUUAAUUAAUUUAUAAGGAAGAAAGGUAGGUUGGUGAAUUUAUGUGAUUAUGUACAUAAUUAAUUUGGCGAGUAAUGUAAUUAUGUACUUGCUGGUCAAAGAUGUUCUUUGAGUUCUGCAUGUGUUUGGUUUUGAAGCUAUCAAGAGGAGAAUCUAUGUUUUGGUUAAUGUGGCAUAGUACAAUAAGUUAAAGAAAUGAAUGAAUAAAUUUUGGUACUCCCUAUACCAACAGUGCUUAGAUAUGUUCACCAAAUAUAUUAACAUAUAGAAUUGAUUUGGGCAAGUCAUGAAUUAUUUUAAGUUUAUAGAAUGAUCGGUGUGAAAAGUAUUUACCCUCCUUCGUUUGUAUAAAAAAAGAGCGUCGGAUUUAUAUAUGCAACAUAAUCGAAGCUGCACCUACGUACGUACAUACCAAACAUAUAGAUAGAUUAGCUAAUUAAUUAAAUUAAUAUAGUGUCACGGUAUAUGCAGCAUGUUCAUCAGCAAAUUUGAACUGGUACAAUGAGAGCUUAAUAGUUCCAAAUGGUUCAUACGCCUUAACUGCCAACAACUGCAUAAAGUGCUUUUGCAGAUCAACCACUCUCAAGUAAGCAUGUUUAAAUUACCAGUAUAUCGUGCUCACAAUUUUCUACAUGUUAAAAGCCUGGCAUAUUGUACAUUAAUUUGUACUGAGCUGACUAUCUUGGUUGGUCAUCAGCUUGCAGUGUUCCCCAUCUGGCAUUGUCCCCUCAUGCUCUCACCUGCAAUGCAAAGACUCCGAUGUCUUCAUCGGCGAUGUGAUAACCAAACCAACAGCAUUAGGUUGUAAUGUCAGCACAUGUGUGUACCGAGGCCACAAUGGCCGCAAGAUUUUCAGGAGGUAAGAGCAAGGAGAAAGUCUUACCUAAUAACGCUUGUAUGGGGCACCAUUUACACAAAAAGUAGAUCCAGCUGCAAGUCGCAUGCACUAGCAAGACAAACCAUUGCAAUUGGAUAUUUAUUAGGGUGGUUUGCUAUCCAAACACUCAUUUUUACCUCCCACACACUCCUUUCAAUUUUCGGUUAUCGGAUCGAAUGAAUGAAAGAAGAUCAAAGAAUAGAAAUUAACAAGGAUUGUGUGAGAGAUAAAAAUGAAUGUGUUGAUAGCACCACCCUAUUUAUUAACACACAAGAACAAGAUUCUAGAGCCAAUUUAACAAUUACUUGUAUUACUUUUUAACUAUAUCCUUUUCUUGCGCAGUUUGGAAAAUUCUUCUCAUGCCAAUUGCUCAGGUGACAAUUACUAAAACCUAUUUAUUUUUCUUUGAUGAUUAUUAUUAUUUUGUUUCUGUUUACUGUAAAAACCUGGCUGUGCAGAUGUACAAGAUUACAGCGCAGUGUCACCAGAGCAAUCUUCUAAUCCUGUAAUCCCAUAUAUAUCUUUACCUCCAUCAGCAUCACCAUCUUCUUAUCCACCCAUGGGAAUUGGUGCUUAUGGACCUACGAGUACACACAACCCCAAUAUCUCUAAUCACAGCAGAUUGCUUACUCAAUCUUCAUACUACAUUUUGUUGGUUGUCCUUGCCCUCUACUUUUUCUUGUGAUAAAAUUAAUCGAUGCCAAUUCUAAAUGUCCCCAUGUAAACUUUUUGUUCUUUUGAUUCAUAUUUUUCAAUUAGAUGCUCAAUCCAACCAAUGAAAUGACAUAAAAUGUCAGAAGCAGCAACAUUUGCAAUGUUUUAGGUUACUGCCCCUUCUCAUUCGUAUGGUUUCAACUUUUAACCUAAUUUCUGUUUGUGCAUAUUUGGAUUUUACUACGGAUCAUAGUUACCCUAAUCCGUGCACGUAUGGUAGUAGCUCAGAGUUGUCAGCGGAGUUAUGCUCACAAAUCAGAAAUCUACACGAGCUUGACCCAUUAUAAAUUGGUAUGCGUUGGGGUCGUCUGAGCCAUUCCGCUAAGAAAACUUACACAUAAAUUUCAGCCCAAACUCUGUCCACAAAGUCCAAUUGUUCAUCUGAUCAUCAACUGCUUCUUCUUCAUGAGAAAAUAUGGUUUGUAACUAUGUUUAUUAUCCACCGCCAUUAGUAUUAGUAAUUUCUUUGUCACAUGUCAUGCGAUAUAGAAAUACUAGUGUGAAAUAAUAUCACUGAUUGCACCACAAAAAUCUUCCCUUUUUGUUAACCAAUAUCAAUGGAAGAUCUGUGAUCUACGAAGAACAGUUUGAGAGAGAGAGAGAGAGAGAGAGAGAGAGAGAGAGAGAGAGAGAGAGAGUGAGUGAAGAAAGAAGUUGUAUAUGAUUUUCCUUAAUCUCCAAGUAAUGCAAUGUACAUCACUAUUUAUACACAACAAACUUAACUACCUAAUUAUCCCAUAGCUCCUAUUCUUGUGACAAGUGUAACAAUCCUACACUCACUAACUCAUAUUCUAACAUCCCCCCGCAAUCUCUUGCUUUGAUAAGCUAAGCAUGAGAUUCUCACAAUGUGUUCGAAACAAAGGAGCACUCAAUCCCUUGGUCAAGAUAUCUGCAAACUGUUCUCUGGAGGAAACACUUGGCCACUCGUUCCCUAACAAAAUGCACAUCGAUUUCAAUAUGUUUGGUCUUUUGAUGCUGAACCAAAUUAAAUGAAAGAGCAAUAAUGGAGAGAUUGUCACAAAACAAUACUAGAGCUUGAGAUAUAGGAACAUGCAGAAACACAAGUAAUUGUUUGAUCCAAUCGAGUUCUGCAGAAGUAGUAGACAAAGCAUGAUAUUCGGCCUCAGUAGAGGACCUGGAAACAGUUUGUUGUUUCUUAGAAGACCAAGACACAAGAUUUGGUCCAAGAAAAAACAACGAACCCAGUAGUGGAGAGAUUGUCACAAAACAAUACUAGAGCUUGAGAUAUAGGAACAUGCUGAAACACAAGUAAUUGUUUGAUCCAAUCGAGUUCUGCAGAAGUAGUAGACAAAGCAUGAUAUUAUGCCUCAGUAGAGGACCUGGAAACAAUUUGUUGUUUCUUAGAAGACCAAGACACAGGAUUUGGUCCAAGAAAAAACAACGAACCCAGUAGUGGAUCGUUGAUCAUUUGGGUCUCCUGCCCAAUCAGCAUCACUAUGUUAGAUUCAAAGCUCCUAUAUGAUAGUUGAUUCCCAAGUGCAAUGUGCCCUGUAAGUACCUGAGUAUGCGCUUCACAGCUGUGAAAUGAGCAACCAUUAGAUUCUGCAUAAACUGGCAAACCUGAUGCAAAGAGAAGGCAAUAGCAGGCCUGGUAAAAGUAAGGUACUGUAAUGCCCCCACAAUGCUUCUAUACAACUUAGGAUUUCCAUACGGCUGACCAUCAUCCUUAAGCAAUCUGUUAUAGGGUAGACAUGGAGUAUCACAAGAUUUAGACUUAUUCAUUUCUGUCUUGAGUAACAAAUCCUGAACAUAUUUGGCCUGAGACAGAAAUAACCCAGUUUUGGUUUUGGAAAUUUGAAUUCCCAGAAAAUAAUGCAAAUCGCCUAAGUCUUUGAUCUCAAACUCAAUUGUGAGAGAGUGAAUAACAUCCUGAAUAGCAUUGGAUGCACUGCCAGUAAUAAUGGUGUCACCAACAUACACCAAUAGGAUAACAAUCUCAUAAUGCACUUGUUUCACAAAUAAGGAAGAAUCAGAGUAUGUAGAUUUGAAUCCCAGUGUUGGUAGAAAUGAAGUAAACCUUUCAUUCCAAGCUCUGGGAGCUUGUUUUAACUCAUAUAAAGAUUUAUGAAGUUUGCAGACCAAAUGUGGAUGAUUGGGAUCCACAAAUCCAAGAGGUUGAACCAUAUAUACUUCUUCUUGGAUAAUUCCAUGCAGAAAUGCAUUCUUGACAUCCAACUGCCUUAAACUCCAACCAAAGUGUGCUGCAAGGGCCAAAACAAUUCUGACAGUAGUUGGCUUGACAACAUGACUAAAAGUUUCUCCAUAAUCUUGACCUGGUUCUUGACUGAAGCCCUUAGGCACUAACCUAGCUUUAUGUCUAGCAAUAGAGCCAUCGGCAUGCUUUUUAAUCUUAAAUAUCCACUUACACCCGACUAAAUUUUUAUUUGCAAGUAAUGACACCAAACUCCAUGUGCCCUAAGAAUGAAGCGCAUCAAUUUCUUCUGUCAUAACUUUCAUCCAAACAAGAACUGUUAAUGCAUUUUUGUAAUUAAGAGGCUCAACCAAAGACAAAUCAACACCACCAGAUUCUUGUAGAGUAGUCAACAAAGCAUUCUUCUUCACAAUUCCACUUUUGCUUCUAGUUUGCAUGGGAUGCAAAUUCAUAGGAGGAAUCUCCAGUACUACUUGCAAAACUUCAGGUUGAAAUGAAGAACCUUGAUGCAUAUGAACAGAUGAUAUUGCUUCAGCAUUGGACUCAAGUACCACAGGGACUGAGGGAGAAGAUUCAGAUGUACCAGUAAUGGACAAAGGUGAGGGUUGGACAAAUGGAGAAGAUAAGGAUGACAUGGGUGAUGGUUGUGGUGUUGGAAGAGAAGACUCAAUAGAAUUACUAAGGGUAUGAGUUGUAUCAAUAGUGGAAGGGACAUGAGACACAGGUAGAACAACAACAUUAGUGUUUGUGAAGGUAGGCAAAAAAGAUGGAGGUUGAGACAUCACAGAAGGUGUAUGGGAGGACUUGGAAAUGGAUAAGUCUGGAAAUGGAUAAUCAUGUUCAUCAAAUAUAACAUGCCUAGAAAUGUAGGUUAUGUUUCCAGAUACAUCAUAACAAAUAUACCCUUUGUACUGUGAAGCAUAACCUAAAAACACACAUUUAAUGGUUUUGGGUUGAAGUUUGGUACUGAGAUAUGGUUUUAACAAGGGAUAGCAGGCACAACCAAAUAUUCUCAAAUGGGAAAUUUGUGGAACAACUCCAAAUAGAACUUCAAAGGAAGACUUAUCAAGGAGAACGGAUGUGGGCAUUCGAUUAAUCAGGUAUGAUGUAGUUUGGACAACAUAGGACCAGAAAUAGGAAGGUAACUUAGCAUUCUGCAAUAAAGGGAUUGAGGUUUCUAUAAGAUGCCUAUGUUUUCUCUCAGCCAACCCAUUUUGUUCAGGAGUAUAGGGACAUGAUUUCUGAUGAAGGAUACCCUUAUCUUUAAGAAAAGAUUGAAACUGUUUGCUAAUAUACUUUCCCCCCCCCCAUUACUUUGGAAAAUCUGAACACGACUUGAGAACUGAGUUUGAACAUAGUUAUAAAAUGUAACAAACACAGAGAACAAGUCAUUUUUAUUGAUUAAUGGAAAUAACCAAUAGGGCCUUGUACAUUCAUCAACGAAAAUCACAUAGUACCUAUAUCCAUCUUUGGAAAUACAAGGAGAAUGACCCCAAAGGUCACUAUGUAUGGUGUGAAAAGGUUGGACAAACUUAUUGACACUGUGGUGAAAAGGAAGUUUACAAAACUUACCUUAUAGACGACUGUGACAUAUGACUGGUGAAGAGACCUGUUUACAUUGGAUAUGAGCUUUAUGCAACAUCAAUGUAACAAUUUUAUUUGUAGGGUGACCUAGUCUAUGAUGCCAAGUAGAAGAUAGUGCUAGCUGACCAAUAUAUGCUUGAGGUUGUUGUGUUGUAUUUUUUAAGAUAGAUGGAGAAGAUGCAAGAGGAAUGGGAUAUAGUCCAUUACUGCACAACCCUUUGUAGAGAAUCCUCCCUAUGGCCUUGUCCUGAAUCCAAAAGCAAAACGUGUCAAAAAUUAGCCAGCAGGUGUUAUCCAAACAGAUCCGAUGUACUGACAACAAGUUUUGGUACACAAAUGAUAGAAUUCAAAGUUAUUGGUUUCACUCUGGUGUUAAUCAGAAUUGACCAAUGUGUGAUACUAACAAACCUUCACCAUUUGCUGUUUGAAUCGUUUCAUUGGAUGGAUAAGGAGUCGCCAAAGACAAGUUAGACAGAUCUGCAGUCAUAUGGUUUGUGGCACCAGAGUCAGUAAGCCAGACUUGAGGGAGGCCUUAAGAGGUGGAUGCCUGAGAUGGUUGAACUGCAGUAUACAUAGCAUGCAUAGAAGAUGGUUGAGAUUGGAAAUGUUGAGAAGAAGUUCCAUAAGUCUGAGAAGACAUCGGAGGAUAACUCUGAUAGGAACCACCACCAAUAUAAUUUGGACCUUUGUCAUUAUAAAAACAGUACCAUGUGGAAAGAUUUGUUUUGCCACAGAUGUGACAUUUGGAUCUCUCAGGAGGUUUAGAACCACAAAAUGGUGCAGUAUGACCUUCACUGUUGCACAAUUGGCAUGUAGGAAUAAGAGGGGCAGAUGGAGAAGAAUAGUAUUGACCUGGAGAUUGACCAAGAACACCAGGGGUUGGUGUAGGCAAAACAUGAGUCUGUGUGUAAAGUUGAGGUCUUGAGUUAAAUGACCUCUGACCUUAAUUAAAUUUUCCCUUGCCUUUGUUCCUAUUAAAAGACUUGUAGCCACCAUUAGGUUAGGAAGAUUGACCAUGAGAACCAGUAGACUGCUGAAGUAAUGGGGCUUAAGACAUAGGAGGUCCAGAGUUAGCAGCCAUAGUAGUGGGAUAUGAAGGAGCAACAGAAACAUUAUCCACAAUACUUUUUUUUCAGCCAAUAAUUGGGAUCGAAACUUAAGGGAAAUCACACUUUCUCUACCCCUAACCACACAUCGGAAGGUAUUAUACUCAGGAGGGAGUCCAUUCAAGGCUAGAAUUACAAUGUCUUCAUCAGCAAAAUAAACCCCUGCAGCUGCCAAGUAAUCUCUAGCCUCUUUGAUUUUAUGUAAAUACUGACUGACAUUAUCAGACCCUUUUCUGGUGUUCUACAAAUUAGACUUCAUUUGAAAUAUGCUAGUUCUUGACACAAUGGAAAAUUGUUCUUUAAGACGAACCCAAAGUUCUUGGGAGCUUUGGUUACCAAUCGCACAAGACAUAGCAACCGGAGACAAAGUCGCAGUAAUAAGUUGCAUAACAGUCCUAUCAUGCAUUUUCCAUAUGGAGCAACUUAUCACAUUUCUUAGAAGUAGAAGAGUCAGAAGAAUUGAUACCAGAAGCAGCAGAGACAUUGGGCACAGGGUAGUGAUUGGAUCCAUCAACAAAUCCCAUAAUGCCAUUGCUUUCCAGCAUGAGUUGCAUCUGAAAAUGCCAAUUCAGGUAGUUGGAAUCAUCUAAUUUCACAUUCACGGACGUGGAGAUAGUAGAAAUGAGGGACGUAAUUGGAGAUUGAAUAAUCGUAAGUUGAGCAGCAGUCACUAUUGUUGCAGAAAACAACCAAAUCAGAUCACUGUGCAAGAAAAAACUUCACUGAGAACAAAUCGCAAACACUUGGAAUGAACACGACAGAGAGAUAUCAAGGAAAGAUCGACCACCACACAAGAUCGAGCCAAACCCUAGACAAUGUAGGUGCACGAAGACGAAGAAAUCCUUGAGAAUCAAGAAACAGAAAUCAGAGGCAGCCGAAGACAGAAAUCGAAAGCAGCGAAAGCAAGAAGAUGGAUCGACGUAUCAUGCGCAAGCAUCAUAGGCGAUUGAUACCAUGUUAACCAAUAUCAAUGGAAGAUAUGUGAUCUACGAAGAACAUUUUUAGAGAGAGAGAGAGAGAGAGAGAGAGAGAGAGAGAGAGAGAGAGAGAGAGAGAAGAAAGAAGUUGUAUAUGAUUUUCCUUAAUCUCCAAGUAAUGCAAUGUACAUCACUAUUUAUACACAACAGACUUAACUACCUAAUCAUCCCACAUCUCUUAUUCUUGUGACAAGUGUAACAAUCCUACACUCACUAACUCAUACUUUAACACUUUUCACAGCACAAUUUCGAUUUUUUUUUUAAAUUUCGGUUUUUCUCUUUUAACCAAACCUGGGUUGUUAUAAUCAACAUAUAAAACCUAUCCCAAACCAAAUUAGGGACUGAUUGUUCCUGCAGGCUGCAGUGUGUUAGAGACGUUAUAAAUCUCCACCAUGAACAUAUGUAUGUGGAGUUCAGUUCCCUCACCAGUACUGGUUACUCAUUCUUAUCCCCAGCCAAAAGCUAGCUAACGUGGCACCUAUCUCUUCUUAGAGCACCCAGAUGUCGAAAGCGAACUCGAUCCCACCAUUUCAUCAGUUACCUAGAUUUCAAGCCAUCAUGGUCUAACUGACAAUUACAUAAUGCUGCGUUUGUUGGACAUGAUUUAUGUAUCAUGUAUGGAUGAUAAACUUACAUGACAGUAUGUUUAAUAUGUGUGGAACCUGUCACUCUUCUUCCCUUGUGAUAUCAAAUCGAUCAAUACGUUUCAUAAUAAGUUUGAUUACAUCUAUGGAAAUUCGAUUUAUAGGGCUCAGUGGCCGGCACAAUUUGAGUUUCAGAGAAUUAAGACUUAAGUUGAGUUUUAAAAGAUUAAGUGAGACUUGAGACUCGAGUUAAGUUUCAGCCUUUUACAAUGAAAACCAUAAAUGCCACAAUAGCAAAGUUUGGAUAUGACAUGGGCAAUUUUUGUUUGUUUGUUUUAAUUUAUGGUUUUGUACAACUUUUGUAGCAUUCUAGCCCAUAACAAGAUUGGGUUUGCACAGAAAUUUAAUGAAAUUUCGUCCUGGCUUGACUCCAACUGUAAACUUGUCUUGAUAGCAAAUUUUCAGCAAAAUAUUGACAAAAUUCUAUCUUCUUAUUACGAAAUUAUCGCACACAAGUAGUAAAUGUAGAUGUGUACAUGUUACCUUUCUAUUUUUGUGCACUUGAGCGUGUGAAACAUACUCAAGGGACCAAAGUCAAUCAACUUGCUGCUAAUCAACGAUUGUGGGUGGUGACACAAUAAGGUGGAUGCAAUUUGCGAAAAAAUGGUUGGUUUAGUGGGUAAUACCUUCGAAUUUAUCUCUUGAUUCGUAGUUUGGAGUUCUCAUAGCCCACUCGUUAGUGCUAAAGCUGCUCCUUAGCGCAUACAGCCGUUCGUUGGUGCUAAACCUACUCUUUAGUUAGCGCACAUAGUACGUGGUGAGACUUAAGCUUAUGCCUGGAUAUAAGUCCAGUGAGAAUAACAACUUGAUCAUGACUUAUGGGUGAAAAAUUAACAAGAGCUUUAAUUCUCUCUUAAGUCUUAAGUUCUUAACUAGAAAAAGAUAUUUUUGUAUUUAUCACAUGAGAGAUUGUAAUAUUACUGUUUUUAUGACUCAGAUUCGUUUACCAAUAGAAGUAAAAACCUAGAUAUCUAAAUUUAGCAAAUGGCUCCGCAGUAAGUUCAUCAUUUGGAGAGAACCACGUUCACAUAGUGGUUUAGGGUGAGACUGAGAGAUGGGAGCCACAAGAGAGUUGAAAGAAACCCUAAGAGGAGGGGCGGGGACCAAUAACAAGUUUCUACAUAAACCAACAAAAUAGUCUCUCUCAUUUUUCUCCCACAACACACAUGCUACAUACACACGCAAUUGCGGCCUUCCCUAACUCUAGUUUGGCCCACAUGGAUCCCUCAGUUUGACUUACAACCAAUAAGAAUUCAGAGAAACAGAUCAAGUUGAGAAGCUUAGCCAAUAAGCAGUGAGAUACGACCUCCUUGUGGGUCCCAAUAAGCUUUAGCAACAUCCUCUCCUCUCUUCCUAAUGUAGCAAAGCAAAGCAAACCACCAAAAAAACUGCAUGGCAACGAAGGUAAGAGUAAAAGCGCUGCAGUGGGUCUUCCUUUCACUCUCACAGUCUUCUCCCAGUCCCCACACUAUAAUUAUUGAACCAUUUGGGCCUAAAUAAAUAUGUGAAGCCACCUCAAUAUUCCGUGUUCAUGAGCUGUGACUACUUACAACAAAAGCACUUUGUUCACCUCAACAUUACUCCUUCUGAAUUCAGUUGUGACUUCUAACAAAAGUAAUUGUUCAUCGGUUUGAUUCUUGCUAGAUUUUAUCAAACACUUUGCUGUUUGCUGCUGCUGCUGCUGCAGUAUGAUCACGGAUAAGAAAGCUGCAAAUGCAAUGGGAGGCAACACAUCUCGAGCUUGCGAUAGCUGUUUGGUGAAACGGGCACGAUGGUUUUGUGCUGCUGAUGAUGCUUUUCUUUGCCAAAGAUGUGAUGCCUCGGUGCACUCGGCGAACCAGUUAGCAAGCAGACACGAGAGGGUUCGGCUCCAAGGUUCAUCUUUCAAGGCCAAUGCAUCGGUGCAGCUGAUUGCGGACCAAGCUGCACCGGCUUGGCACAAGGGGUUCAAGCGCAAGGCGCGAACCCCUCGCCACAACAACAAGCCUGGAUUCGUGGCCAAAGAUGAGCAAGAGAAAGUAGGGCUACACCCUCCUCUACCUUUUGUUCCGGAAAUCGGGUGCCAAGAAGCAAAUUUGAUGGAGGAUGAGGAAAAUGAAGAUCUAGAGCAGCUUCUUUAUAGGGUUCCAAUUUAUGACCCUUUUGCAGCCGAGCUUUGCAAUAUUUCGUCAAGUGAUCAGGUUGGGAACAAUACUGGUGCUAUUGAUCUCGAUGCCGAAGAGAUUGAGAUCAGAAAUACGGGAAAUGACUUGGACAAUUUGGGAGGGUUUCUACGGUCGGAUAUGGAGCUGGCGGAGUUUGCUGCUGAUGUGGAGAACCUGCUUGGAGGGGGACUAGAUGAGGAUUGUAGUGACAUCAAAGGAGUCCUGGGGCUAUUGGACGAGGGUAAAGAAGUGAAGGUUGAAGAGGAAGUUGAAGGGAUAGAAUUUAAUCCUUCGAUCUUGGAUUGGAGCUUGUAUUACGAUCAGUCAUCAGCUGUACCGGUACUAAUGGGAAGUGAGGAGGACAGGGAGGAAGAGGAGAAGGUAGUCCUGCUCAUGGGGGCUCAGAGUAGUGAUGAGAUUGGAUUCAUGGAGAACAAGCAAAUAGUGAUGAAGAGGAAGAACAUAUGUUUGAAGCUAGAUUAUGAGGCAGUCAUCACUGCCUGGGCAAGCCAAGGCUCUCAAUGGACGACUGGAACUCGACCGGAGCUCAACGCUGACGAAGGCUGGCUAGACUGCAUGGUAACAAUACUACUAUCUCUCUCUCUCUCUCUCUCUCUCUCUCUCUCUCUCUCUCUCUCCAUUUUCUGGUCCUACUGAUCUACUAGACUACUGGCCAACAAAGGCAUACUCAUUUGAAUCACUCGGUGCACUCUUCUGCCUGUGAUUACUGUCUACUGAAAAGAGUAAAAACAAAAAUCAUGUCCAUAUGAUUACAUAUAUAUAAUUACAUCAAAUCCGCUAUACUUUUUUAAUUUACUCCGUAAGGAUGAUUGCCUAUAUAAUUAAAAUCUAUCUAGCUAACUUGUGUUAAGUAAGACUAUUAAGCUCGCACAAUUUUUACAAAACCUAUAAUUAGGUUUUUUUCUUUCGAUCAAACCUAAUUAGGGUUAUGUAUUAUAUGGUUAUUGCAGGGUAUGUGGCCUACAGAAAUUCAUCAACCACAUGGAGAUUCAGCAGGAUGUGUAAGUCGAGGAAAAGGCGAUGACCCGGGAAGAGAAGCAAGAGUUUCUAGGUACAGAGAGAAGCGAAGGACGCGACUGUUUUCGAAGAAGAUAAGAUACGAAGUUAGGAAGCUGAACGCGGAGAAGCGGCCUAGAAUGAAAGGUCGAUUCGUUAAGAGGACAACGUCCAGCUUUGGUGGGGUGGGAAGUAGUAGUAGUAAUGCUCCUGCGGCUGCAUUUCCCUACCUCAUGAUCAAUAAAUAACCGUACGUAGCUGUAGCUCUCGUGAUGAUUUUCACGAACAUCCCAAUUUUGCUUGUUUUAAUUUCAUGGCAAAAUUGGACUGACACUGAUGUAUAUGCAAUGUGCCAUAUAUAUAGCCUGCAUUUGUGCGAUAAAUGAAGCAAGUUGGUAGCUUAUAACUAACACAGUUAGUCCAUCUCUCUCACUACCAAUUUAUUAAAAGGCGAGGGCAGAGGCGUAGGCGUCCCAUGAAUAGCCCCGCUUAGGCGUGAAGCGUGAGGCGAAGCCUCAUGGUACCUAAAAUUUUAAUAUAUUAUUAUAACUAAAUCAAAGAUAAUAUAAUUAUCUUUAUAAAAUAUAAUUCUUUAUAAAAUAUAAUACUUUGUAAAACAAAUAUAAUUAUAACUAAAUCAAGGAUAAUAUUGUCUUCCUCAUUACUAAUCUUGUUGUACUUAGGAACUAUGUCAUAAAGUCUUAAAAUGUUAUAAUUAUUUAUUUUAUUGUAAGCAAUUAUAGAGAACUUCAAGAAAAAUAAGGGUGAGUGUCCACAAUUAUAGAGAAUUUUAAGGAAAAUAAAGGUUGAACGUCACAAUUAUAGGAAAAUUCAAAAGGAAAUAAAGAUUGGGUGGAGGGGAAUUUAAAAUGAAAUAAAGGUUGAGUGAGCAAUUAUAGGGAAAUUCAAAAGGAAAUAAGGGAGCAUUUUUGCUCACCACCAUUUAGUGUGGUGUAUGCUUACCACCCUAUUAAUUACCGUUAGAUGAGUUUGAAUUUUGAGAUUCGUGUAGUGGAUAAGCACAAAUCUCAAAAUUCAAACUCAUCUAACGGUGAUAAAUAAGGUGGUGAACAUACACCACUCUAAAUGGUGGUGAGCAAAAAUACACCCAGGAAAUAAAGGUUGGGUGGAGCAAUUAUAGGGUAAAAGGAAAUAAAGGCUUAGUGGAGCAAUUAUUAUAGGAAAUUUAAAGGAAAAUAAAGGAUGAGUGGAGUAGUUAUAGGAAUUUUGAAGAGAAAUAAAACUUUGCUAAUUAAAAAUAGGAUUUGGGGAGAGAAACUAUCUCUUCCUUCUUUGUUGAAACUUGAAGUUUCCUGCAUUUUAGAAACAACCAUAGAUUUCGAAGGAAAAAAAUGCCCAAGUUGAACGCCUAGGCGUGCCUCAGCUGCCUAGGCAUGCCCUAACGCACCCUACACACACCCCCACAAAAUAAAGGCGAAAACCCAGCCGCCCAACCUCAAAGGCCGCCUAGGCCCUCCCGAGAUGAGUUUUUUUAAACAUUGCUCACUACUACUCAUAACUAGCUAGUACUUCAAAUUCGAAGCUUUUACUGAACAAAGUCAGAAGAGCUCCCUCUCUCACAUUAACCAAUAUCAAUUUUGAAAUUGUGUGUGCUAAUUGAUGCAUGUAUAGCUAACAACUGGUUGGCAAUAGCUACUACUAUCUUAGACUUGAGUAACAAUAUUCAUGUUUUCUUAAUUUACGUAAGAGUAAAUUUUUAGAAAUCCCCCCGAAGUUAUACGUACUUCACUUCUUAUUACCUUUACGUGUCGGUGUGCACAUGCCUUUAUAUAAUGGCAAUUUGGAUGAAAUGUGAAGAAAAUAGACAGUAUGGGCUACAAUCAUUCUUUUGAGUCCUUAACUUACUAAAAACAAAAGUUCAAAGAGUAAAUCAGAAAGCAAAUACAAGUUCAUGGAGUAUUUUGGCAAUUUACUUAACAAUGUUAGAGAUAAUGUACACAUAGGAUGGUGACACUUGUAAACAGAUUAAGAGAGUUAGUUAUAGUUGUUAAGAAUAUGCAAAUGUAAGUAGGGUGUAGUAUAUAUACUCUUAUAGUGUAAUAGCUUGGUGAUUAAGAAAAGAAAUAGAAAUAUCUUUCUCUCUCUAUGAAUCUCUUUCUCUGACUUCUCUCUCUAAGAUUACUGUCUGUGAUUCUCUUCUUCUUAGUUUACAUGGUAUCAAUCGCCAUUUUCGCUCUUGCUGUUUUCUUCGAUCCUUCGGCUGCUUCCGCUCAUCUUCUCACUAUGUGAUUCUUUCUCGUCCUCGACGUCGAUUCUUUUCUGUAUGCUUGGACGUAUUCUGGUAUUCUUCUUCGUCUUCUGUGAUUUCUAAGGUUCUUGGUGUUUCUUGAUCUUCUUGCAUCGGUGUUUCCAGAGUGUGCACACCAGGUGUUUGUGAUAUUUCCUCUCUUGGAUUUCUAUCUUCUUUCUGUAUAAAUGGUGUCUGCAUCUCAAUUACAACUCCUUCAGUCGCCUAUUACUGCUCUCAUUUCUACUAUUUCAACAUCUAUCAAUGUUAAGCUUGAUGAUUCGAAUUAUCUUAAUUGGCAUUUCCAAAUGCAAUUGUUACUGGAAAGUAAUGGAAUCAUGGGGUUUGUUGAUGGUUCAACACCCUGUCCUGCUCGGUUUGCUCCUAAUUCUGGUGAUUCUGGAGUUAAUUCUGCUACUUCCUCCUCUGGUUUAGAAACAGAUGAAUAUACUGUUUGGAAAUUACAUGAUCGCGCACUUAUGCAGCUUGUUACUGCCACCUUGUCCCCAGUAGCUAUGUCAUGUGCAAUUGGUAGUGCUAGUUCUCGGGAGUUGUGGACUCGGCUUAAGGAACAGUUUUCUACUGUUUCCAAGACCAGUAUUUUUCAGAUGAAGUCCAAUCUUCAAACCAUUAAAAAGGGGUCAGAUUCAGUCACUCGGUAUUUACAGAAGAUCAAAGAAGCAAGGGAUUAUUUGUCUGCUGCUAGUGUGUUUCUUGAUGAUGAAGACAUUAUUAUUUUGGCUCUUAAUGGUUUGCCUCCAGAGUAUAAUACAUUCUGCACGGUUGUUCGAGGCCGAGAAAGUGUUAUGACUAUGAAAGAGUUUCGGACUCAACUCCUUGCUGAAGAAGAAAUUGUUGAUAGUCAUUCUCAUGUUCCUUUUCUGUCUGCGAUGGUUGUCAAUAAUACCUCAUCCCCUGUGCACAAAGGUUCUAAUCAGGCAUUUAACUCUGGCGGUGGUCAUUCCUUUCAUCAUACUGGGGGUCAGUCCUAUGGUGUUUCAGGAGGUUUCAAGCCGUAUGUUCACAAGAACAAAGGGAAGGGCAAGUUCAAUGGAGGUCAGCGAUACUACACUCCUCGGCCAAUGUAUCAUACACAAACCCAUGUCUUCCCUACACCUACUCCUGGUGUUCUUGGUUCGUCGCCCUCAGCACCUCUAUUGCCGACUUGUCAAUUGUGUAAUGCUGAAGGUCACACUGCUCCUUAUUGUUACAAUAAGUCUUCUGAUCGCCAACAGUGUCAAAUCUGUGGCAAGUUCAAUCAUACAACUUGGUAUUGUUUUUACAAUGAAAAAGGGCCUUCCUAUAUGGGACCUCAGUAUUCUCAACGGGCAGGUACUCCAAUGCAGGGAUACUCUUACAAUGUGCCUCAUGUGUUGCAUGGCUCUCACCCCUCUUCCCUGCAAGCAAUGAAUACUGUAUUUUCUCCCACAUCACCAUCUUCUCAUAUGGGCUCUGUGGCAUCUACUUCUCAAUCACCACAAGUCUGGUUGACAGAUUCCGGUGCUACUACACAUAUGACAGCUGAUCUUAACAAUUUGUCCUUAGCUUCUCCAUAUCCUAGCAAUGAAGUUGUUCAAACUGCCAAUGGUGAAGGUUUGCGAGUUUCUCACAUUGGCAGUUCUAUUCUUAACACUUCUAAAAAUCCUAUCACAUUAAAUUCCAUUCUCUAUGUUCCUAAAUUGACACAGAAUUUAUUGUCAGUUCAUAAGUUGUGUUUGGACAACAAUUGCUGGCUAAUCUUUGAUGCAUUUUACUUCUGGAUUCAGGACAAGGUCACAGGGAGAAUCAUGUACAAGGCCCCGUGCAGUAAUGGACUCUAUCCUAUCCACUCACUCUCUACUAGCUUCCUACCUUCUCAAUCUUCACAUGUUGCUUUUCUUGGACAUCUUGUUGGUUCCAGUCUAUGGCAUACUAGGUUCGGACAUCCAUCCAAUAAUGUAGUUUCUUUACUUCUUAAACAAGCAAAUAUUCCAUGUAAUCAGGAUGUUGUCUCUCAUAUGUGUCAAAGUUGUCUCAAGGGUAAAUUCACACAGUUACCAUUUCCUUCCACUCAUGUCAAGUCUGUCAUACCAUUUCAAAUUGUUCACAGUGACCUUUGGGGUCCUGCACCAUGUACAUCCAUUGAUGGCUAUAAAUACUAUGUUACUCUCAUUGAUGAGUGCACUCGGUUUUGUUGGUUGUUUCCCUUAUCCAGUAAAUCUGAUUUCACUGAUGUUUUUGUUACCUUUUGUGCAUUUGUCUCCACUCAAUUCUCUACUUCUGUGAAAAUACUACAAACUGAUGGGGGGUGAAUAUAUUAGUAAUAAGCUCCACACUUUUCUGAAAUCCAAAGGUAUUGUACAUCAUAAAUCUUGUCCUUAUACACCUGAACAUAAUGGAUUAGCUGAGAGGAAACAUAGGCAUAUCAUUGAAACUACUGUCACUUUGUUACAACAUGCCACACUGCCUUCUCAAUUCUGGACCUUUGCUUGUCAAACAGCAAUUUACUUAAUCAAUAGGAUGCCAACUCCAGUUUUACAGAAUCAAUCUCCUUUUCAAGUUUUGUAUGGUCAAAAUCCUGUCAUUACUCACCUCCGUGUCUUUGGUUGUUCUUGCUAUCCUUUACUUAGACCCUACAACACUUCCAAACUUCAAGCUAAGACCACCAAGUGUGUUUUUCUGGGGUAUGCUUCCCAAUAUAAGGGUUAUAUUUGUUAUGAGGUGUCCAAAGCCAAGUUUUUUAUCUCCAGACAUGUUAUCUUUAAUGAGACUGAAUUUCCUUAUCUUAGUCUUCUUCAAUUGUCCAAACAAAAUAGUGUGUCCCAUGUCCCUUGUUCACCUUCAUCUUUUACACAUGUUCCUAACCAUCAGAAUGUUUUGGUGGUGCCUCUUCCUCUGGUUUCUUCCUUAACCUUUCCACCUGUCCCUCCAUCCCCUGACUCUAGUGUUGCUGUUCAUUCUCCACAUAUGGUUGCUUCACCUCCAUUUUCCUCCUUACCUUCUUCUUCAUCCAUUACUGCUCCAUCAAGUACUACUCCUUCUCUCCCUGUGGAUCAUGAGUUCAGCCCUGAUCGGUUACAAGUGGUGUUACCUAUUGCACCAUUGAAUAUGCAUCCUAUGCAGACCAGGAGUAAAAAUGGUAUAGUCAAACCCAAGGUGUUUUUCAGUUCUUUAGCGCCAUCUGGAGAUGUUGAUAUGUCUCUCAUUGAGCCAGUUUCUUAUAAGACCGCUAAGAAAUCCUCUGUGUGGUUGGCUGCUAUGAAGGAAGAGAUUGCUGCCCUGCACUCUCAAGGUACUUGGUCUCUUGUAUCUCUGCCCUCUCAGAAAAACUUAGUCGGCUGUAAAUGGAUCUUUAAAAUAAAGAAGAACUCAGAUGGUUCUAUUGCAAGACAUAAAGCUCGCUUAGUUGCAAAGGGCUUCAGUCAAGAGGAAGGAUUAGACUAUGGGGAGACAUUCAGUCCAGUGGUUAAGCCUACCACAGUAAGGCUUGUCCUGGCCUUAGCUGCUCAGUUUCAUUGGUCUUUACGGCAGCUUGAUGUCAAGAAUGCAUUUUUGCAUGGCAUACUGCAGGAGGAGGUUUACAUGGCACAACCUCCUGGUUUUGCAGACCCUGUGCAUCCUCAUUUUGUUUGCAAGUUACAUAAAUCUCAGUAUGGAUUGAAGCAAGCCCCCCGGGCCUGGAAUGAGAGAUUCACAGCUUUCCUUCCUUCUCUCGGGUUCAUCUCCACCUAUUCUGAUUCGUCUCUAUUUGUGAAGCAUGUUGGUUCUGAGAUAGUGAUUUUACUGCUUUACGUAGAUGACAUUAUCUUAACAGGGAAUGCUACAGCUGCUAUACAACAGGUCAUCCAGUCCCUUACUACUGAGUUUGACAUCAAGGAUUUGGGCACACUUCAUUAUUUUUUGGGCAUUCAAAUAUCCUGCACAGCAACCGGGAUGUUUUUAUCACAAACCAAGUACAUUCAAGACUUGUUACACAAGACUGAAAUGAGUGAUUGCAAACCGUGUGACACUUCAUGCUUACCUUAUAAUCGUUUACUGAAGGAUGAUGGAGUUCCAUUUUCAGAACCUGGGACAUACAGGAGUAUCGUUGGUGCCCUGCAGUACCUCACUUUCACUCGUCCUGACAUUGCAUUCUCAGUCCAUCAAGUAUCUCAAUUUCUGCAAACCCCUAUGGUGUCUCACUUCACUGCUGUCAAACGCAUUCUGCGUUAUUUGAAAGGCACCUUGUCUUCUGGCAUUACUUAUGCUGCUGGUGACGUUGGUUUAAAAGCUUUUAGUGAUGCCGACUGGGCUGGUGAUCCGAAUGACAGGCGCUCUACAACUGGGUUCGUUGUUUUCUUGGGCUCCAAUCCCAUCUCGUGGUCUUCUAAGAAACAACAAACAGUUUCUCGUUCGUCAACUGAAGCCGAAUAUCGAGCCAUGUCCUCCACUGCUGCUGAACUUGAUUGGAUUCAGCAACUUCUUACAUUCCUACACAUUCCUCUGUCUUGUGCUCCUGUGCUUUUCUGUGAUAACCUGUCCGCCAUUGCUCUUUCGUUCAAUCCCGUUCAACAUCAACGGACCAAGCAUAUUGAAAUUGAUGUUCAUUUUGUUCGUGAACGGAUUGCUCAAAAGAAGUUACUUGUGCAGUUUGUAUCUUCCGGAGAGCAGUUUGCCGAUAUCCUUACCAAAGGUCUUAGUGCUCCUCUCUUUCGGACUCAUUGUACCAAUCUCAUGCUUGGUUCUUCUCCCAUGCAUGAGUUUGAGGGGGGAUGUUAGAGAUAAUGUACACAUAGGAUGGUGACACUUGUAAACAGAUUAAGAGAGUUAGUUAUAGUUGUUAAGAAUAUGCAAAUGUAAGUAGGGUGUAGUAUAUAUACUCUUAUAGUGUAAUAGCUUGGUGAUUAAGAAAAGAAAUAGAAAUAUCUUUCUCUCUCUAUGAAUCUCUUUCUCUGACUUCUCUCUCUAAGAUUACUGUCUGUGAUUCUCUUCUUCUUAGUUUACAAACAAUACUCUUCUUGUUGAUAAUGAUAUUGUAGUUAACUUCUUUACAUCCACGUUUAAUCAAAUUUCGUAAUUAAAUAAGUCAAUUUCGUGGGUAAGUACCCUAAAAAGCUGUUGUGUCACUGGUACUAUUUUGAUUAGGGCAAAAUGUUCCACAUCCAUCACAUAAGUUGAAAAAGAGAAAUCACGAUUCAGAAACCAACUCACAGUACAAUAAUUUUUUUUUAUAGACAUUCUUUAGGGGCACGGUUAAUUUUGAUUCAUUUUACUGCCAACAAAAGUUAAAUUUGAAGAGAGAAAAGGGAAGAAAAAUUGACAAAACCUGGCCAAGUUGAUCAACAGAUUUCAGAAUUUGGCAUUCACCACUAUAAAUUUCAUGCAGUUGUUGGUAGAUUCGGUUAAUGCAAAUACAUAUCUAGGAAUAAGAAUUAGGGUUUCUUCCUACUAGCUAAGCAAUACCAAUAGGAAGACAAUCUUUUUUUGUCAGAUAUACUGCAUCAGUAGAGUCUUCUGGAAAAAUGAAAAAACGUGGUGGUGUUUUACAGGAGUGAAGGAGGGAGUGGUAUUGCACGUGGGUUAGGACCACCAGACAAAAUUGUCUCUAAAUUAUUUAUUAAAAAAAAAAAAAAAAAAAAAAACCCUUAAACUCUUAAAAAUUAUCAAUUUCAUUCCUUGCUUUGAAACUCUUAUUGUCACUCGAGUAAUAAUUUAAAGACUAAAUCAGCAGUUUACCUAGUUAUGUAUGAUACCCCUUUGGAUUCGUUCUUUAAUUUAAAUUUUUGAAAAAAAAAAUUUAGGCUUGUUUAAUAAUCAUUUAGUCUUUACCUCAUAAAAAAAAAAUCAUUUGGUUUUUUGUUUUUGGUUUUCAUUUGUUGUGUCAGUUAUAAAAAUUGAAAUACAUAGAUAAAAUGAUGGAUGAAAAAGAGUGGAUAUAGGGGAUGAUACAAAGAAAGACAAAAUAAAAUGUAAAUUAAAAAGAUAUAUAAAAUUGUUUUCAUUUUUUAAGAUUUUGUUUUUAUCCAUUCUUCUUCAUCUUUUCCCUCUUCCAUCACUUUUCGUGAUCUCUCCUUUUCAUUAUAUAAAACGCAAAAAGAGAAAAUCUAAAAUCCAAAAAUGAGAUAAUUAUCAAACAGGUCCUAAGAUUUUGAAUAAUUGAUUUGAGCAUCUGUAGUAUUUGCAGUGCCCAACCAUAGAUAACUCACUUUAGUGAAAGCAAUUGAAACAUCUUAAGCAGAAAUCGUACAUCAGUUACCAUUUUAGUAGUUCAGUCCUCCAUGAGCAAGGACUUUCAAAGCAAUCGAAUCAACCACCAAUCAUUUUCUCAAGUCAAGUAAUAUCCAAAAAUAAUAAUAAAAAAUAAAAAAUAUCAGUACAAUUUAUUAUAGUUUUGCAUACAUGGGAUGGGAUGUUUACUACUAGUAUAGUUUAAAAUAGAGCUUAUCAAGAUUUUAGACUAAUUUAUGUAAAAGUAUUCAAUUAUUUCCAUUACGUCUUCUUCUUAGACGUCUUCCAUAAAAAAAUUAUAGUGAUUAUAUAUCUUAAAUUGACAUCGACAAGUACACGAAGGUUUCUAUAUUAUUAUUAAGGGGAGGAUUUGAAACUAUUACAAUAAUUUAAGGGAUCAUAGGCAAUUUUGAACUCGAGAAGCAUGGGUGGAAAUCCAACACCCUUUCGCUAGGAUAUUGGACCACAUGCAAAGGUUUGUAUAUAUUCAAUUUGCAGACUUAUAUAGCUUGAAUGUUAACUAGCUAAUCAAUUUGUUAAGAGCGAUCAUACAACAAAGUUGUUCGAAGUCCAGAUUAGUACUUUGGAUUCUGCUCCCACUCCCACUCAAGGACAUGGGAUAGUUUGAUGAGUGGUUGCUACGCUCUUCUUUUUACCUUUACUUAAGAAAAAUUAAGAGACAUAACUAAGUAGAGAGUACAUAAAAUCAAAAGAGAGUGCGGAAAUCACUUUCUAGACUUUCUAGUACCGUUAGUAAACGAUGAAAAGAAAUCCAACAGUUGGGGUGCAGCGAAGUAGUGUUGUAUAACUGUUGGGUUCAUUGGUUGUCUUGCUUUUAACUGCAGACAAAAAAAAGAUGAUUGCUCCUUUCCUUGGUAUGUUUGUUUUUGAGUGAAACUUUGUGAUCUCAUGAUGGGAAUAUUGCCAUACGGUUCAAUCUCUUCCAGUUCCAAAGAUUCCAUAUGUGUACGUACGUAUGCAUGCAUGAUUGAUUCUUGAAAAAGGUUUUGAUAGCGCUGUUUAUGUUUAUUUUUUUAUUUAAUCAAAAUUAACAUGACUAAUCAAAUGAUGAUCAACGCAUCAUUAACAAAGAAAUGUAACGUGCCGUGCCCGAAGAAGGUUAAGGUGACAAGAAAGCCACCAUGCAAUCUUCAAAAUACAAUUCCUAAAUUACGUUUUCAUAACAAAUGAUGAUCAAUGUAAAAUGACUCGUUUGGAAUGUUAACAACAAAGCAAUGAGGACAAACCUAUCACUCUUUCAUAUGUUAUAUAAUGGGUUACGCUAUUCACAUACCCUAUUUUACUUUCCUCACCUCCUAUUAAUUUUCGACCGUCAGAUCGUAUGAAUUGAAAAAGUCAAAUGACAUAAAUUAAUUAGAGGUGUGUGGGAAGUAAAAAUUGGAACGUGAACAGAACCACCCUAUAUAAUAUAUCAUAAUUGAGAAUAAUCCCAUGAAUCAUAAUCAUGAACUAGCUAGUUAAACAUACUGUGAUCAUCUUCUGGGAGUUAAAAAGUUCUCUGUGUACUAUAUAAGGAAGCAAGAAGGGGAAGGAAGGAGAGAGAGAGAGAGAGAGAGAGAGAGGAGAGCGAGGGGAAGAGCUAGACUGCUUGCAUUACAAGCGAUCUUGAGGAGCUGAUAUCGAUAUGUGAAUAUGAGGGAACGAUGGAGAGGGGAGCUACCUUCGGUCCAAUUCAGAGGGCUGAGGAGUGGCUAGAGCUGUCAUCUCAUGCAUUUGGCUACUCCCUUAAUAUUAUUUUCCAACCCUAGUAGCCUGCUGCCUGCGCAGCUGUGCAACUCUAUUCAAUUAGCUGUUACAUGGGAGAUGAUAUACUGAAUAUUAAGGGUUCGGCCUGGUGCAUGGUGUGGGAGCAACUCCUUCCGCGCGCUUAGCCCGCCCAUUGGACUGAAGGGAGCUCUGGCCACCACCCGUUUCAUCACGUCGCGUAAACCGAGUCAAGUGCACGAUUUUCUUUUCUUUCUGUUGUCUGCUCUUAAGACUAUAACCAUUCUCAUCACUGUCAUAUUCUCGUCGCUAAUAAUUAAUCAUCGGAUGUCACUUAUACUAUCAUAAUUUUCAUUAAGGUUUGAUGAAUCUGCUUGACAGGAAAGAAGAAAAUCAAUUUGGAGACUUGAAGCUAGCGUGGAUGAUGUGGUUUUACUACAACAGAAAUCCGAACGGUGAUGCGAAAUCCAGGAAAACAAGAACGUGUGCUCCGGACGAGAUUGAACACUUUUCUGGUUUUCUGAUUUUCUUCUUCUGAUCACCGGAGCAUGUUAAACUACUAACACUCUGAAGUACUUAGGAUGGGCAAAUACCUAUUGGUUGCGGUUAUCCGUCCAUUUAAAUUUGACAGUUAUGGGUAUAACUGUUUACCUGUGAAAUUUAAAUAGGCGGUUAUGGUAUUACCGCGGUCAUAAAUGAGAACCUAUUUAACCGUUUAUUCUAAUAUAUGUAAAACUAAAAAAUAAAAAUAAAAAGUUUCUAGCUAAGUUUGGUAUCCCGAGACAUAUUUGGUUAUAAGGGGCCAUAUAAUAUAUAUAUGCCUCACUUGAGAGAAAAGUAUAGUUGAUAGAACAGGCCAAUGUUAACAUAUGUGAUUGAAUGUGCUAAAGCAUUAGAAUGUUCGACAGUUUUAUUUUGGAGUCUUUUGAAGCUUUGGCCAAUUCAAGAUAAUGAUUACCUUAAGAUUUUAGAAAUAUGUUAUUGUCAGCUGAUGCGUGUAUAUAUAUAUAUAUAUAUAUAUACAGAGAGCUUAAGGGGAGGGAUCCCCAUUUUUUCAAAAAAAAUGGGGACACGCUCCCCACCGUUAGAUUGACUUUAAUGAAAUUGUGUGGUUGAGAUUAAAACACAGGCCACAGAAUCUCAACCACAUGAUUUCAUUAAAGUCAAAUCCAACGGUAGGGAGCGUAUCCCCAUUUUUUUUUUAAAAUAGGGAUCCCUCCCCUUAAGCAAUUCCUAUAUAUAUAUAUAUAUAUAUUUAUUUAAUUGGCCUCGGUUUUCAAUAAAUAUUUGACCCAAAAAUUAGAAAUCGAUUAAAUGGCUUGGAUCGAUGAAAAUAUGUUUCUAAAUAAAAAUCUAAAUAUUUAUCAAAUUAGCUUAUUAGCAAACUGAUCCGUACUUACAUAUAUAUAUAUAUAUAUAUAUAUGUAUAUGUAUACAAGAAUAUUAAUUAACCUACAGCCAUGCAUGAUUCUUGUAAUAGAUUGAUUGUCAAAUAAUUGGGAGACAUCACAUAUAUUCAUAAAUAAUAUUGGUGUCAUACAAAAAUACAUGUUAAAUGUACUUAUAACGGUAUUUAAUUGUUAGAAAAAAGAAAAUUAUGACAAAUUUCUUUUUAAAUUUUCAAGUUUUUAAAAAAUAGGUAGACGGGUAAAAAAAAAAAGGGUAAAAAGGUAUGCGGUUAUGGUUAAAUGGAUAUGCUGUUAUGGAUAAAUAGAUAUACGGUUAUAGGUAUGGUUAACCGUUUAUAAAUAGUUAUGGGUAUACCCGUUUAUGUAAAUACCCAACGGGUAAACAAUUAUAUGGGUAAAAAUUUAAACGGUUAUGGGUAAAUAACCGUGGUUACCCACCCGCCAUAACUGUUGCCCAUCGCUAGAAGUACUUGGUAAGUGUCGAGUUACAGCGUUCGAGUUAGAGGAGCAACAAUUACCGGGAGGACCGCAAUAAAAACACAAAUUGUAAUGCUUUGGAGAAUUAGCAACUGUUUUUCCUUAGCACUUGAACAAUGCAAAAGAUUUAUGAUACAUCAUCCAUACAUGACCAAUGACAAAGAAACUUAUUCUUUUAUCUAGGCAGAGGCCUAGUUCAAAUCACCGUCAAUUUUUGGAAGCUAACAAGCAAGAUAAUCUAGUGAAAAGUCGAAGCCUGAAAUCUGGCCGGAAAUCUGUAACGACAAAGAAAAGAUAAGAAUGGUUUCACAAAGUCCGGAGAUGAUAACAGAAUAUCAACAAUGCAAUGAAAUCGUGAUGUAGGUGAUCCCCAACUUCCCCCCAUUUUUCUGCAUUUCACUGCAGCCCAAACUUACCCACCUGCGUGAAGAAAACAUAAUAAGUACACCAAUUAUAACUGCAGACCUCUUCACUUACAUACAACAUUGAACAUAUCACGACACGGAAAUUUUGGACUCCAUGUCAAGCAACAAAGUUCACAAUCCAUGUUAAAUCUGCAUGAAGAGUGAUGCUAGCAAAGCUCAGUAUUCAAGUCAUUCAACAGAUUCGACUUAAAUGUUCAAAACAAAAUGAAGGUUUCAGCAAGACCGCGCAAGCAACCUUCUUAGCUCCAUCACCCAACUCCAAACUCAAAAUCAAAUGAGUAGACUGAGUAGAUUGACAGACUUCAAGAUCAUACCAACAGGCCCGAAUACCAGAAUGCAUUUAUACACAAUAUUCUCAUGCUCUAUGCUUAGAUUGACAGACUUCAAGAUCAUACCAACAGGCCCGAAUACCAGAAUGCAUUUAUACACAAUAUUCUCAUGCUCUAUGCUUUCUCAAGUUGAACCAUUACCAAUUUGUUUACCAUAAUUCUAUUUCCGAAAGUUACUGUAGAUCUACCAAGUUAAAGAUGACUCAACUUGCUCAGACCUUUCAAUGAACUGUCCAAAAACUUAGAAGCUAGCAAAUCCAACACGACACAGAAAGCCGUGCAAAAUGGAUAAAAGACAUUAUAUGCGAAAAAUCAUAAUGGAAAAAAGCCCCACAACGCAAUAAAGGAAGUUGCAGGGGUAAAUCUUCCGAAGUUUGUAGAUUCAUGUCUUUGGUAUAUACAUGUUUAUUACCUGAAUCGAAGUAACCCUCGCCAGGUAGCAAAUAUACAUCAGAAUUGGAUUGAGCAUUCUAUCAAUUUUCAAAAACUCAAACUGAUAAGCAUUUGUUCCAGCUGACAGUCACGAUUCGACUCAAGCCUCAAACUAAGAAACUAAAGACCAUAGCUACACCUACACCUAUUAGGUUUCACAUUUCAGAAAUUGAGUUGUUUCCUAGUGUUUUUUGUCUGAAUAAAACUCCAACCUAAAGCCCUAAAUCAUAUGCCUCACCAGAAUCAAAAAACAAGAACCCGACUCUUAAUUCACAGCGAAAACGAGCAAAUGGAAUCGAAAAGACCCAAUCUUGAACAAAAUUUCACCCCAAAAACUGAACUUUCAAAUCCAAACAAUAAAAAAUUGCAAUCAGAUUAUCAAAUUGGGAGCUCAAAACACAAGAAACAGUACCUGAAACCGAUCACUCGGACUCCACCGGCUCCGGCUUCGGACCUGAAAUUCCCAUAAACAAAAACAAAAUGUCAAUUAAUUGAGAAAACUGACAAACGACGGGAAAGGAUAGGGUACGGUGGCGGACCAUGGAACUCGUAAGGACGGUGGUCCUUCCCCCAACCGAUGCCGCGAGUGGACUCGAGGUACUGGUGGACGAGGUGGCGGCACUUCUGGAGGUGGUUGACGCCUUCGAUGCGGUAGCACCAUCGGAGCUUCUCCCUGAUGAUCUUGGCCUUCUCGAUGUCGAUCCACUUCUCCCGCACCAAGUGCUCCCUCAUCUCAAGCAUCGCCACCGGGUCCUUGUACGGAUUCGCCGGAUCAAAGUCGUCCGGCGGCGACUCGUCGAAGUCCACCACUCCUUUCUUCCGCCCCAUUUUCCUCUCGCACUUCUAGAUUGCUCUCUCCCUCUCUCCCUCUCUCCCUCUGUGUUCUGGCUUUGAUUUUCGGAGCUCUGCAGCUGCUUCAGGUGGUUGAGCUUUUGGGUAUUUGGGCUUACGAUUGAUCAGGCUCUGGUUUUGGGCUCAUCUCCAUUGAUAAAGCACUAGGCCCAUUCAGGAUACUUUUGUAGUAAGAAAACGGGUUUGUCUUCAGUAGUCCGACAUUUUAUUAAUUAGAUUAGCAAGUUGACAAAAAAUAGUGUUUCAAUAAUUCAAUUAUGGCCAACUAUUUCUUGCUACUAAGUAGUUUGGACUAUUGAAGAAAAAUUGGUAAGAAAACAUGUUCACUUCGAAGUGUAUUUCCGUGUUAGUGAUUUGCCCACUCUAUUUUUAUCGCUAAGCAUCUCUUUUUAUUUGAACUUGAGUGCAAGUGAUUAGGUAUACUUCCUUAAUCAACUGGUCUAACAUGCAACUGCCUAAUUAAGACAUGCAACUGCCUAAUUAAGAGAAACAACGGAAAAAAAAAGAGUGCAAAAGAAGAAAUGAGUGUGACAAUCAGUAUUUGUUUCUCCUUCUAAUAGGCUUAAAAUUUGUGUGAUGGUUCAAGAGCAACUCAAAAUAUUAUUCAUAUCUUUCUUCGUCAUUUGAGAUACACAAAAUGUUAUGGCCAAAGCCGUUUAUCUAGCAUCCAAGUGCUUCCUAAAGCAACUCCUAGAUCGAGUACUUCACCAAAAAACACUUAUAUGACCCAAAAAAAAUUGUAGUAAAAAAUAAUUCUAGUUGUCAAAAAAACUAUUUUUAACUACAGUUGGGCACGGGCCGGGUUGGGCCUAAAUCUGGAGGAACCUGUUUUAAAAUGUAACGGGCCGCAUGGGCCGGUUAGAGGGAUUUUGAGUUUGAGAACCAGACCUAACCCCACCUGUUAGAAAUGGGCCGGUUUGGGGCAGGUCCAUGAGUCCAAUUACUUUAUUUUUAUUUAUUUAUUUUUUCCGGUUUUGGGCAUACUACCAGUGUCUUUUUUCUUUCUCCUCUUCACAUCAUCUCCAUUCUCUCCUCUUCCCCUCUUCCAAAUAAAAAACUGAAGCAAUCACCAUUUCUCGAUAAUUGCAUCACCUGGGCCUUUACCAUCGUCGUUGUCUUCAACAUUAAUUGUCUCUCUGUCUGCAACUUCUGUCUUCUCUCUAUUUGCAAUUUUAAUCAGCUUCAACGUCAUCGUUUCACGAUUCGAUGACAGGUAUCCACCUUUUCCCAAUCUUUGACUCCUUCGCACUUUCUUGUAUUUAGUUCAUCAGAUCUAAUGGUUUCUCAACUUGCAGGUGUUGAGAGGCAGCGGAUCCAAGAUAUUGUCAACAUCUUGGACUUGGGACUUGGGAUAGAAGGAGAAGGAGUCGAAGAGGCUUUCAAGUUGGGAACUAAAAUGGCUUAUUAAAGAAGGUUAGGAAGACGGGGUUUGUGGACUAGAGGUCGUUUUGGUGAAUUGAUGAUGGUUUGAGUUAAGUGAUGUCGUCGAGGAGAGGAGUGGGAAAAGAUUAGCCGAGUGGGAGGUGGGAGAGGAAGGAGAGACUAGGUCACUUAGAGAAACAAGUCCAAUCCAACGAGUGCGAUUGGAUUGAAGAUUGUUGAUCAUUCCAUUUUAGAAACGGGUUGGUUCGAGGCCCCGUGAUUUUAAAGAUUUAGACCCGGCUUCGCCAUGUAAAUACCACCACCCCGCCCCGCCCCGCCCCACCUCGCCCCAUUUCUUCUAUAAAAAAAUAAGACCCGCCCCAUACCCGCGUAUACCAGUCCUGACCCGUAGGUCCUUGACCUGUUUGCCCGCCCCUACUUUUAACCCUUCCAAACGCAAUACCAAACAGAUCCUUAACUCACAGGCCUACUAAUUUCAUGGGCCAGGGAUGGAUUUGGGCCAUGGAAUUGAAAAUUCAAGACCAAUUUCAACCUGACAUCGACGACCACCAAUAGGUAGCACAGAAGACGGAGGGGUGGAAGACAGGUGGCAGAAACCCAUCUGAUGGAAUUAGAGACGUAGAGCUGAGAGAGUUGUGCUCCUAAUUUCGCGCACUAGUUCUUACCUCUCAUGGAAGAUCAACGGUGCACGGAAACUACGAGGAAACCAAAAUACACCAAACAAUAAACAUCUGAACAAGACAUGAUUAAAAGUAAAAAUAAUUAAAGUAAAUGAUAAAAAAAAAAAAAAAUUGGUCUAACCUUAAUCAACGCCGCAUUAGCUUGUCGUCUCUUUGAGUUUUCUCAGGUGGGACUCUCUGUCUUUUCUUUAAUUCACAUUUUCCUGGAUUUCCUUCGCUGCAUUUUGAUCAUGAUGAUCAACAUUUGUUCAUGUGUGUAUGAAUAGUUACGGCCCGUUUGAUGACCAUUUUGUUUUUAGGUUUCGUAUGAAUAGCUCAAGGCAUGCAGCGUGCUUGGUAACCUUUUCGUUUUUAGAUUCAUAUGUAUAGCUAAAAUGGUUUGUUUGAUAACCAUUUUGAUUUUCGUAACCAAUUGUUGAAUGAUUAUGGGAUUCUAAGUCAAGUUAUAUGCUUCUGGGUUGUUCCAUUUUCCGCUCUCUUUACAUGCUUACAUACGUUCUCUUGUAGCUAGUGUGAAGCUCGGGCAAAUUGUCUCUCACAUUUUGUUUUUGCUUUUUUUUUAUUUUUAUUUUUUAUAUUUUUUAUAUCCGAUUUUCGAAGUUCUAACCAGAUGUUCAUAAGUUUUUCUUUUCUUUUGUGUGUGUGUAUAUGAUUGCUGGUGCAACCCCAGCUUAAUCUUCAUCCCCUUUCGUUUGGAACUCGAUAGCAUUUCUCCUACGUGUUUGUUUCUUCGAGAGAUUGUUUGUUCACUUUACGCAGUUCAUUGUUAGUACCCUUACAUCAUUAACGCGUUUCUAACUCGCAGGGUUACUCUUUUUCAACAGAUGAUUAAUGUUUUUUAGCAUGAGUUUAUAGUUAAGCUCCAAAGCUAGACGCCACUCCAAGUAGCUGAUCAUGGAUUCCACAUCAAAUUACAGCAGAAAAGAAAAUGUAGGAGCCAGCAGCCCAAGUGUUCCUGCUACAGGGAAUAGUUUCGAACAAGUUGUAAAUCGUAAUGGUGAGACUGAAGGUGAGGAAAUCUAGCCAUCUCCAUUUGUUCCUGAUAUACUCUCCAAUGCGAGUCAAUGAUCUUAAAUUUUUCCCCGUUUUGGAAUUUUAUUUUGCAGGGAAGCGGAGAGCGUACUUAGUAGAGUGGUUAAAUAGUUUAGUUCCUAAUCUAGGUUUACCAACAAAUGCUUCAUACGAGGACUUGCGAUCGUGCUUGAUCGAUGGUACCGUUUUAUGUCUGAUGUUGAAUAGGCUUAGACCUGGUCUUGUUGAUAAGGUUAGUUGAUAACUUGAUAGGCUUUCCGCGGCCCUUUUUUACUUGAAGAGUUAUUCGACAAGUUGGUGAUCGAAUGUCUCGUUUUGUAACUUCAACGUUCAUAGAAUUCGAUGUCACCCUCAGAAAAUGUUGCAAGGUUUCUGGCAGCUAUGGAUGCAUUAGGGCUGCCGAAGUUUGAUAUGUCCGACCUAGAGAAGGUAUCUGUCGAUGUAAUUUGUAUGCAUACAGCUCCCCUAUCAAAUUAAACAAUUUCUAUACGUUCGCUGACAUUCAAAUAUUAUCCAGGGGUCUAUGAAGACUGUCACAAACUGUCUUUUAACACUUAAAGCAAAACUUAUGCCAAAUGUUAUGGGAGAUGGUAUUACUAUAACUAGUCCGACGACUAAAUCUGGCAGCCAACCUUCCCGCUUCCAGCUUUCUCAAUUAUCUGUAGAUGAGAGGCGGAAGGUCCUGUCUGAGUCAAAAUUUCAGCGCGCAUUGCAUAGUCCUGUUAUGGCAGGUCUGGCCAUUGUGUUGUACAUAUCAAACUUUAUUUUUGACAAUACACUUGUGUUUGUUUAGUUGAUUAACUUUUACAUGAUGUUUUCGUCAUUCAAACAGUGGGUUUGACGCAAAUUUACCUUCAGCAGAGACAUCGCCUUCACGAAUGCAUCAUGUUGGGCAUAAGUUCCAUGAGGUGUUGCAGUUGAAGCAAGGAAGCUACGCGGAUCUUCCUGCUGCAAAAAUUUCAGAAAUGAUGAAACCGAACAGUUUAGAUGUCAGUCAUCAAUGGACCCUGAAACUGAAUCAGGUUUUCCUUUUGUGAUCUCUUCAGUUUAAUGUAUUUUUAAUGCACUUCAGCAUCUCUUGCUGCAGAACGCUCCAACGCAGUCACUUUUGAGUGUCGUAAAUGGAAUCCUCGAUGAAGGUGUUGAAAGAAAGAAUGGUGAAAUACCUCAUGUAUGGAAAUCCGAAAGCAAAUGAUUGUUAAAAAAAUAAGUUCAUCACGUACAAUAUUCAAGAAAUAUGGAGUUUGAAAAUCUGCUCUUACACAUUGCGUUUGUGGCACAGCGUGUGUCUUGCCUUCUGCGAAGAGUUGUCCAGGAGAUUGAGCGGCGAAUAUCAACUCAGGCGGAGCAUUUAAGAACUGUAAUAUGCUUUUAUGAGUACUUACCACCGAUAGCCUUAUUAAGAAGUGCUUUGCGUUAAUUUUUUUUUAUGGUUUCGUGCAGCAAAACAACCUUUUUAAGGCUCGUGAAGAGAAAUACCAGUCAAGAAUCAGAGUACUUGAAACACUUGCAUCCGGAACCAGUGAGGAAAGUGAGGUAUGAAACAUUUUUCGGAAGAUUAGAUCAGGAGUUGACAGCUUCUCGUAAACAUGUUUCAAUGUGGUACCGAUGUCUUAUUUUCAAAGUGUGAAUUUUCUGGUACAGCUUAUGAUGAACCAUCUUCAGCAAAUAAAGGUAUAUUUUGCAGACAAUAAAAAGCAUAUUGCUGGUGUUUAGGUGUUUAAGCAGUGAAAGAAUACGUAUAAUUUUACUUGCAAACUGCGGUUACGAGGAUUUGCUCAUUAUAUAAGUUUAUGAAUAUGAUUAAGUGGGAAUGUUUACAAUUGGCAGAGUGAGAGAACCCGAAUGGAAGCAAAGAAGAAAACCGAUGGCGAGGAUGUGAAUGUGAUCAGAUUGAUGAAAGAGAGGGAUCAAGGCAACCUUGAAAUUUCAGGAUUGAAGCAAGAGUUGGAUAUAGCAAAAAAGACAUAUGACCUGCGUUGCUUGCAAAUGGAAAUGGAAGAGAAGGGUGCUAGAACGGAGCUUGAAGAGAGGAUAAAAGAACUCGAACGUCUCUUGGCAGAGUCAAGGAGUAAGGUGAAAGAGCUCCAGGCAAAUUCUGAGUCAAAACAUCAGUCUAAUAGAGCAGAACUUGAAGAGAGAGUAAAAGAACUUGAACGUUCUUUGGAAGAAUCAAGGAAUAAAGUGAAAGAACUCGAGGCAAGUUCCGAGUCCAAAUAUCAAUUUUCUAAAGUAGAGCUUGAAGGGAGAAUAAAAGAACUUGAACGCCUCUUGGCAGAUUCAAGGAAUGAGGCGAAGCAGCUUGCAACGAAUUCAGAGUCAAAAUAUAAAAGUUGGAGCAAGAAACUGCGUGAUUACGAGAACUCUAUGGACCUUCAACUUGGUUCACUAAAGGUAUCUUUAGAUCAAAUUGUAUUUUCAGCUUUAAUGUAUAUGAUGAAUAGUACGCAUUUCAAAUCAAUUUAUGAAAUAUUCAGGAAUUAAGAUUAUCUUCGGAGUUCAUUAAGCAAGAAGUUUUGACGGCAGAACACAGUUACGCGGUGGACUUCAAUCACUUAGGUAGGGUUGUCUAUUGGAAGCAUUCGUCUGUUUCGUGCAGUUUGUGCUAGAAGAGUUUCAUGCUUUAUAACUUUGUUUUCCAGGAGUGAAACUUCAAGCAUUAGCAGACGCGUCUGAGAACUAUCAUGCACUUCUCGCUGAAAACAGGAAGUUAUUUAACGAAAUUCAGGAUUUAAGAGGUGCUACAAAAUAAAUUAGCGUUACUGUGGUUACAUCUUACGGAAAAUAUUAGAGUUCACUUCUUAACUUUCUUGCACAGGAAACAUCAGAGUUUACUGUCGAAUAAGACCAUUUCUUCCUGGAGAAAAAGAAAAGAAGACGUUGGUAGAACGUAUUGGUGAAAAUGGGGAACUGGUAGUUGCAGACCGCUCCAAACCAGGGAAGGAGGGUCAUCGAUUGUUCAAGUUUAACGAGGUCUAUGGUUCAGAUGCAAGUCAAGGUUCUCUAUUUUGUGUCUGUAAUGUUGGAUACAUAUUUUUCGAUUCAUCUGUUCGUUCUCCUCGAAAAUGAUUCUUCUUGAAUUGAACAUGAUUGUACAGUGACAUACAUUACUAUGCUGAACUUUGAGCAAUUUAUUUAACUGUGGCAGGCGAAGUAUACGCUGACACACAACCAUUGAUACGAUCUGUGCUUGAUGGAUAUAAUGUAUGUAUUUUUGCUUACGGUCAAACAGGAUCCGGGAAAACAUACACGAUGGUAUGGAACAUAUUUAUAUCCUAAUUUUCAGCACAGAACGAUAAUUUGAAAAAUGCUGAUUUGUUGAUGUUUUAUGUCUGUUGUUUCCUCUCAGACUGGUCCUAAUGGAUCAACUAAAGAGAACUGGGGAAUCAACUACCGUGCCUUGAAUGACCUUUUCGACAUCUCUCAACGUAGAAAAAGCUCCAUUACAUAUGAAAUUCGAGUCCAAAUGGUUGAAAUAUACAACGAACAAGUGCACGAUUUGCUAUCCAGCGAUGGUGCUCAGAAGAAAUAUCCUUGUCGUUAUGAAAUGCGCUUCCUAUUGUGUUGUCUGAGUUAGUUUUGGUAACAGUCUUUUGUUUGCCUUGACUUGCACACACUUGGGAUUAUGACUCACUCUCAACCCAACGGGCUAGCUGUGCCAGAUGCUAGCAUGCACCCCGUGGAAGCAACCUCAGAUGUAAUAAGAUUGAUGGGAAUCGGGUUUAAGAACCGAGCUGUUGGUGCCACUGCGUUAAACGAAAGAAGUAGUCGCUCUCAUAGGUUUGUACAUUUCAUCUUCGUAAAACUUCAUCCCGUAUAUAUCUACAUGUUAUACAUUUUCUGGUGUGUUUGAUUUACGCAUGAAUGUCUAUGUACAGUGUUGUUACAGUUCAUGUACGUGGGAAGGAUUUGAAGACUGGUUCCGCAUUGAUUGGUAACCUUCAUCUUGUAGAUCUCGCGGGAAGUGAAAGAGUGGACCGUUCGGAGGUAACAGGAGACAGGCUCAAGGAAGCACAACAUAUAAACAAAUCAUUGUCUUCGCUCGGAGAUGUCAUAUUUGCUCUCGCACAAAAGAGCCCUCAUGUACCUUACAGAAACAGCAAGCUCACUCAAGUCCUUCAAAGCUCUCUCGGUACCUCUUCGCUAGUUAGUUUCGUUGUUGUGCGAAGUUUUGUCAGAUAUGUAGCAAUGCUAGAAUUUUUACGGUGUUUUCCAACAGGUGGGCAAGCGAAAACGCUAAUGUUUGUGCAGCUAAAUCCCGAUGCGAGUUCAUUUUCCGAAAGUUUAAGUACUCUAAAGUUUGCUGAGAGGGUUGCCGGAGUUGAGUUGGGAGCUGCGAAAAGCAACAAAGAGGGCCGGGAUGUAAGGGAAUUAAUGGAACAGGUUCUCAUUAUAUAUAACAUAUACAUAUGCUUGGGAAAAAUAUGUACAAAUAAUGUUCUACAAACAAAAUGUUGUUUCUAAAUUUCUCUUGCCUCUGCAGGUAGCGUCCCUCAAAGACACGAUUGCUAAGAAGGACGGCGAGAUUGAGCGAUUGCAAUUACUUGAUGGCCACAGUGAGAAGCGUGGGACGAGCUCAUUUAGGUAUGAAUCUUCGCAGCCAAGCAGAGUUUCUAGAGGUGGGAAGUGAAACCAAACACCGUUAAGUGGCGGGAUGAAGGCUUAGGGCUUAAGGCAGCUUCUGAUCCUGAAAACUGUGUUCUUGUACAGUAUCAUAAGCUCCAAAAGUCCAUGCAGGACAUUAAACAACAAAAUGAUUUUCUUCGGCAAUCAUCAAAGGUUGCCGGAAGUGAUGACAUAGGUCAGAAUAAACAUGCAGAUCAUGCUGAGUACUUGGCAUCUGGAGAUGCAGAUUCUGAGGGGAAAUUAAGUGACUUAUCUGACGGUGGUCUUUCUACUGGAACAGAAACUGAUGGCUCUGCAUGAAUUAUCCCGAAAGCACGAAAUCCGUUCCCUUGUAAAGGUGGGCAUUACUUACAUUGAAUCUAAUGCGUUAUCCAGACACACCAACAAGGCCUAUAUGUAACGGCAUUGGUGAUACCUACCAAUGACUCAUAUUCUGCAGGCCUAAAAGGAUUAGUAGGAUUCCGCGACCCUCGCUAAAACCAGGAACAACUUCUUCACCUUCGGCAUCAGGAUCAACGAGCGCUGUGAAGGUGCCAUCAGGUACGUGAAAAUAGAGCUCUCUGCACCAAUUAUUACUUCAGUUUGCCUUCUACUUAUCAGCAGUAUUACGUCUCUCAACAAUUCACAAUCACUUUGUGCAGGUAUGAGAAAAAGUAGCAGUUCUUCGUCACUGAAGCCGGCUGCAAACAGUUGGAAAUAAUUAGAACUCAGUCACUACAAGAAUUUCUCCACUAAUUUUUUUGAUAUACAUGUACAGAGUUUUCUUAGUUGCAAUUUUCUGAAAAUUUUAACAGCUCCUACCCCUAGCUUUCUAAUUACUCAAACCCUUUGUUGUGUGAGCUCUACUGCAAUUAUGCAAUGUAUACAAUUAAACCAACGAGCCUUGUGUAUAAUCUUUAUCCGAAACACAAAUCUUAUCAUUAAAUUACAGUCAAAUUAAUCUUUGAAGCGCAACUCAUAUCAUUAAAUUACGGUCAUAUUAAUCUUUAUCCAAAGCACAAAUCUUCAUCUGAAGCAUCACAUUUAAGCAUUUCAAGACCCGUUAUAUUGUUUCACUUUACAGCCAUGUAAUAAUAUAACUGUAAAGCGAAAACACCAAUUGAUAUAGUAACUAUUUUCCACACAGUAUAUUUUUCCGUAUUUUACUAGGAUUAGAAUACAUGUUUAAAGCCAAUGCUCUCUUUGAUAAUUUUACAUUAUAACCACAUACCUUCAUCACUGCAAAAUUUGUAUCGUUCCACUGUGACUCCAUCUACUGUUGCUUGUGCUAGCGCCACAUUUUCAUAGUUGUUUAUAGAUUCCUUAAUUGCACUUUCCAGCAAAGUAACUUCUCCCACAGUUAUCUCACCCCAAGGCAAGCCCAGUCUCGAGAGAUUUUUCAAUAUGAUUGGUCGGGUUGAUACACUACAUGUCACUAUACAAAUGAUGAGAUAUGUGUGCUAAAAUGUUAUAUUCCACCGUUUCUAUUAAAACAUGUGGUGUACCAUUUGUAUUUCCGUCACAAUGAAAAAUUUCUUGCCCAGCCUCAUCACUAAUAUUAGAACUUGUUCCAAUUGCAAAUCCCAAGUUAGAGAUCGUAUCCAAGGCUGAGAUCGAAUACAUUCAACCUCCGGGCUUAGAAUUGCUAGACCUAUCUAAUUCCUUGAAGUUGACAUAUCUGCCAUGGUUUCAAGUAUCAAGUCUCCACCUGGUAAUUGAUCACAAAGAUUGAACAUUAGAAGACCCUCGUACCGUAAAUCAGUUUGAGAGCUAAUUUCUUGAAUUGCUUGUAGUCUCAGAAUUCAAAGUCAUUGGCUUUGAAAGUGCUUCAUCCUUUUUUAUCCCCUUGAUCUGGUAUUUAUUUAUAAAUCGAUGAACGUAUAAGAUCUCCCAUAUGAUUGCUAGCCAAUAAUCACGAGGAUUUUUGUCGGUAACCUCAGACCAAUCAAAAUCAAUAUCAAUCGACCCCUUCAGCUCAGGAAACUCUAUUAUACCUGAUUCUGAUCUAAAGAAAAAACACUACUGAAAGUUGAUAAUCAAGUUAUAAAAAGAAGACUUUCUUUAAUAGCUACAUGGCAGAACAAGUGUAGAGACUACAACACUAAUAAGUAAGAAAAAAGCACAAAACAUGUCUGAUUAAAAAGAAGAGUUUUAACAAAACACUCUCGGUACUGUUCACUUUUAAUGAAAAACCAUAUUUUUACCUUUAACUGGCACUAUUCACUAUACCUUUAAAAAAAGAUUUUCGUUAAAAGAGAAUUUUUUUUGGACUUUUCGUUAGUUUUCCUUAAAAAGAAUGUAACAUAAGAUUAGAGAUUGUAUAAUUUAUAUAGAGUACUGAUAGGAAUAUCUAAAAAUAUACAAUAUAAGAAUAAGCUUCUAAGGAAAAAGAUGAAACAAUACCUACUUUAGUACAUAGGCUGCUCUCUUCGACCGAAGGAACGCUAUAUAGGCUGCUCACUUUGGAAUUUUUGUUCAUCAAAACCUCAAUACCCCCAUCACUUUAGUACAUUCAAUCAGAAUGGCAUUUUAUAUUAGUAAAUGUAUACUCUUUCAAUAUAUUAUGAAUUCACAUAUCAUAAGUUCACAAUGAAAUUCAAAAACUACAACAAUCAGAAUCACUUGCUAAUCGAAAUCCCAACAAGCAAAUUUUAGUCAAUAAAGUUCACCCCUUCAGUCUAUUAAGAUUUCAACAAUCAUAAGUUCAAAGCAAAAUCCAGAAAUGUUAGAUCCCAUAUCGUCCAGGGAGUGGAUCCUCUAUGCCUUAUAUGUACAUGCUCAUCUCCAUAUACCACGAGAUCUUUUGGGAGCUCACUGCGUCGGAACUCCAAAGUUAAGCGAGAAAGGGGCCAGAGCAUUUCCAAGAUGGGUGACCCACUAGGAAGUUCUACUCGCGUGAGUUCCCAUUAACAAAACCUUGAGGGUGUGGUUGGGGCCUAAAGCGGACAAUAUCGUGCUACGGCAGAGGGGGCCCGGGCCGGGAUGUGACAAGAAACUUAAACAAAUUAACACACCAGCAAGUUCACAAAACCACCCAAUAAAAAAAUUACAAUUUGAAAACCCAACCACCAAAUUGAGGGUUUAGGGAUACUUAUUGUUUCGUAUAUAUUGUAAAAAGGUUGCUUUGUUAGCAAACAGUGACUCUGUGGCCCAAUGGAUAAGGCGCUGGUCUACGAAACCAGAGAUUCUGGGUUCGAUCCCCAGCAGAGUCGUGUUGUUGUUUUUGAACUUUUUUUUUCAUGAAUAAUGAAAUCAUUAUAAUCAUUAAAUGUUCUAGAACAAGUUUUGCUCUGUACCCCAAUGGUUAAGGCACUGGUAUGCGAAACCGGGCUCCGGUUCGAUUCACAGUUGGCAGAGUCGAUAUGAUUUUUUAAAAUUUUUCCUAUUUAAAUGAUUUUUAAAAAGAUUGCAUCAUAUAUCCUGUUUCAGUCAUUAGGCCAUCUCCAACCGAUGGCUGGCCAGAGGGCUCGUUUUAGCCCUCUGGCCCUCCAAGAUUCUCCAAGAUAUUAAUAUUUUAAUGAACAGUACAGGGUCAUAUUUGCCUCCGUUUUUUUCAUGAAUAAUGAAAUCAUUAUAAUCAUUAAAUGUUCUAGAACAAGUUUUGCUCUGUACCCCAAUGGUUAAGGCACUGGUAUGCGAAACCGGGCUCCGGUUCGAUUCACAGUUGGCAGAGUCGAUAUGAUUUUUUAAAAUUUUUCCUAUUUAAAUGAUUUUUAAAAAGAUUGCAUCAUAUAUCCUGUUUCAGUCAUUAGGCCAUCUCCAACCGAUGGCUGGUCAGAGGGCUCGUUUUAGCCCUCUGGCCCUCCAAGAUUCUCCAAGAUAUUAAUAUUUUAAUGAACAGUACAGGGUCAUAUUUGCCUCCGUCUCCAACCGAGGGCCAGAGGGCCAGAGGGCUCGUUUUAGCCCUGUCACAAAAAAUCGUCUCCAAUCGAGGGCCAAAGGGCCAUAGGGCCAAACAUAAUUUAUUAUUUAAAAACUACAAUUUAAAUUCAAAUCUAACGGCUAGGUGACGUCAACAUGAUGUCAGCUAGUUGACGUCAGCUAGCCGUUGGUAGCUGACAUCAUGCUGACGUCAGCUAGCCGUUGGAUUUGAAUUUUUUUUGCUAUAAAUAGGGUGGAUAUUGGGCUAUAAUUCACACAAAUACGUUCUCGUGCCACAAAUACGUACCUACAACAGGAUCUUGUUGCACAUCUUUGGGCCAAAAGAAGCAUGGAGUAGGCUUUUAAGUUUUAUGUUGUUAAAUGUUUUUAAAAAUGUUGUUUAAGUUUCAUGUUGUUAAAUGUUUUUUUAUGUUGUAUAAUUUGUAUGUUGGUUAAUGUUAUUUAAUGUUAUUUCAUAUUGUUUAAUGUUGUUUCAUGUUACUUAAUUUAAUUUAAUGUUUUAUAAAUGGCCUAGGAAAAAAAUAGAAUUGAAAAAAAUUAUGAAACAAAUUUUGUGAAAUAGAAGUUAUAGGAAAUAAAAUAUGAAUCAAAUUUUGUAAAAUAGAAGUUAUAGGAAAAAAAUAGAAUUUAAAAAAAAAUUGAAACAAAUUUUGUAAAAUAGAAUUGAAAAAAAAUAUGAAACAAAAUUUGAUUAAUAUGAAAAGGAAAAAAAAAGGGAAAAAAAAAAGUUUAAAAAAAAAAAAAAAGGCCUAAUAAUACAACGGCUACUAGCCGUUGUAUUAAAAAACAUUCAAACUAUUAGUGUCGGUUAUAACCGACACUAAUAGUAGAACUAUUAAAAAAUAAAUAAAACAUGUUUAAUGCUGUCGGUUUUAACCGACAGCAAUAGAAAACAUUAAAAAAAAAAUAAGCCAGCCCGGGGCUGGCUGGCUGGCCGAAAGCAGCCAGCCCUCCAGCCCUCCAGCCCUCUCCGAUCCCGUGGGGCCCUCCCAGAUUCCAGAGCCCUCUGGCCUAGCCCUCGGUUGGAGACGGUUUUAGGGCUAUUUUCGGCCCUCUGGCCCUCUGGACCCUUCGGUUGGAGAUGGCCUUAUGUCAUGUAAGUCUCUCCAGACCAUACAACUGCUCGGCGAGCACAUGCAAAUGGUUCAAAGUUAACACAUUAGAAAAACUAUGAAAUAGAUAAACUGAAUAAGUGAAAUACAUAUAAGUUUAAAGACAAAUAUUGUAAUGUUGGUUUUUUUUUUCAUUUGAAUAAAAAAGCUUGCUUUCAUGUCUUAAUUUCAAAGGUUGAAUCUUUUCUUCCUGAAACAUAAAUGUCAGUUUAGCCAAAAUGGUCUCUGAGAUUGACAUAACUCCUUAAUUUGUCCUUGAGGUUUGAAAUCGAUAGAACUGGUCCUUGAUGUUUGAAAUCGAUAGAACUGGUCCCUGAGUUUGUCCAUUAUCCAUCAUUUUCAUCCUUCUAUGCAAAAUAUCUGUUAAAUAAGAAUUGUUAGGGCCCAAAGAUGUCACAUGUAAACCCAAUCAAGUAGGCCCGAUUGUCGUAAAACCCCGAGUCAAGUCUAAACACAUGUCAAGGUAUGAAAUCGAGAAGGGAAAACAUUCACAAUCAUGCCAUGCCAUUAAUAUAUGAUAAACGAACCAGACAUUUAUAUAAUCACGCAACGCCAUGCAAAUCCCUACACAUUCAUCAUGCCAUGUUAUAUUUCGCUAAUUACCAUUCACGCUAAAAUAUGCCCAAUCCAUAUGUCUGGGGCUUGCCAAGUGAAUCAUGGUGUGGAUGUUUACGGAAGUUUGUCGGGCAUACACAAAGUCAAGAUUAUGGAAGACUUUGGGCUGCUUAGGAGCCCAAAGAUCCAAACCCACAAUCCCACAAUCCUUGAAGUCUACGUAAGUGAGUUUGAGAGAGAACAAACCUAAUUCCCUUUUUUCCCUAGCUAGACAACUAAGCCAGUUAGAAAAGAGUCAGACUCAAGGCCUUAAAAAUCAUGUGAAAGCCCAAUAGAGCCUGCAUUUAAUGAAAAGAGAGGCAGAUUUUCCCUUCCUAGUUCACGUAGAAGAACAAUGAAAGAAAGUCAUGAAACGUGUUACUAGAAUUAAUGCACGUGGAAGUUGACCUAGGAAAUAAGCGCUCUGGAAAGAGAGCCCGAUGUAGUCUUCACAAAAGCAUUGGUGUUCAUCUGUCUUAAACCAAAUGGGAAGGUCAGAGUUAUGCUGGGAGAAAUGGGAGGGAAGACUUAGUUAUAACUAGAGCUUUUCUAGGAAGCCUCAAAAGGGAACCAUUCACCUACAAAAGAGAGGUCAGAGGUUUUGAAUAGAGGAAGACAUAAUAUUAGAGAGAGGGAGAUUCAAGGUUAUACUGCACCAAGCAAGGGAAAUAGCUCUCUAAGUGCAAAUAGUCUUGAACAUCUAAGAGGAUCACCUUCAUGCAACCUUAGUAGUUUCUUUAAGCUUCCUUCAAUGGGAGCCUUCUUAGAACCCUAGGAAACCCAAAUCACCCAACUAAACACAUCAUGCAAUCAUGCAAAGUUCUUUCGCAUGCUAAAUUGGUAAACUUCUAGAUUCACCUCACUCAUGCAAGUUAUUAUUUGCCUAAUCAUGUUAUCUUUGAGUCAUUAAUCCAACCGGGAUAUUUCCUAAGACAUGCUAAUUCUUUCGAAAUAUUUUGGGAAUUGGUACCAAAACGAACCAGGGGAAUAAAAAGGGUACUUUCAAGCCCAAGUCUAGCUCGGCUUAAAAAUCCCUUAACAAUGACAAAAGAUAAAAAUACCCUCAAUUUAAUAAACAAUGUGCCAAAGUAAUUUGACAAAAAUCGAGAGUAUUUUUGUCAUUUAUAGCUUAUUAAUGAAGGUCAUUUCCGAAAUGACCAAAAUGAUUGACGGUGGACAAACUCAGAGACCAAUUCUAUCGAUUUUAAAUAUCAUGGACCAAAGUGAGGAGUUAGACCAAUCUCAAUGAUUAUUUUUGGCUAAAAAGCCAUGUACUGCAGCCCAGUAAAUGCAUGUUCAAGUUGGGAAGCAUCGAACGAAAUCAAUCGUGUUUAAUUGCAAGAAAUUGGUGGUUCAAAAUUCAAUCUUUUAAGAGGUUUUAAGAUAUUUUUACAUGUCUUCAUGAAUUUACAAUUUUUUUCUUUUAUCUGAUAAAUUGUUAUGUCAUGGUUUGUGCAGUGUAGUUUAUGACUUGGGUUAUGAAACACCAAUAAUGUUACAAAAAUUACACCUUAAGAGACCAAUAAUCCAACUUAGAUAUAAAAUUUAAAACCAAUAAUAUAAUUAGUCUCCCAACUUAAUUAUAUAUACAAAAUGUAUCAUUGAAAUCCAAAACGAAAAAGAAAUGAAACAAAGUUUAAUCAGGGAACAUGACAAUGUGUUGUGUCCCCUCAUUGUGUAUUUUUAAUCAGAUCCCUAAGCUGUUGAAGAAGUUGAUCGGUUGAGCAAUGUUCUUCUUUUGCUUAAAACAGUACAAAUACACUCCAAAUCGAAAAAUAGUGUACUUGUGGUGCCAAAAAAGCAUAUGAUCUUUUGAGAACUCGUUCUUAAUAUCUUAGCAGCGUAUUAUUGGUGUUUAUUUGUUUAAGUUCAAUAGCGUGUCAAAUGCAUGUUCAUUUUGUCCCAUGAAUGCAGGCAAGGGACAUCAGGAACAUUACUUGCAUUACAAGUUCCGCUACUUAGGUUGGUGCAAAAGGCACGGAUCUCCUUCCCAGCAAUUGCCGAUGUGAUUUUAAUCUGGUGCAAAUUAAUGUUAGCACAACCUAGAUUCUCCGAGCAAUCAAACUUGAUCGCUUCUUCGGUUGCAGAAGUUCCAUGAAAACCAUUGUAUGUCACAUCGCUCAUUCACUGUCGAAGUCAGCAAAUUUUUUCAAAAAUGAUGACUUCGUUAAUACAACUAAUUUGUUUGAGUUAAAAAUCAUUUUAUUGAAAUUAGCAUAAGAGCAAUCUACUAACCUUAUUCCAUGACCUAGUCCACAACUAAUUUUGGUGAUAUUGAUAGAGGUUAAUUUGGUCCACAACUUUUAUUUAAAUGUGUAACUUAAAUGUGCACUUUUGAUGUGCACCUGGACUUAACAUUUUAUGUAAGUAGAAUAUGUUGACUAGUUCAUGGCCGGCCAAGCCCACGUGAGUCAAGUUGUGAUGGGUCGACCCGUUUGAUACCUUUAAAGCAACCUAAUCAUCUAGAAUCCAAAUAGUCAUGUAUUCUCCACAAACGAACGGGUUUUAUUUAGGUACACAAUCUUAUCCUAUGAAGGUUUUCAAUGUACCCGAUCUGAUCAGAUUAAAAACUUUACCCUUUUUGCCUUUUCACUUUAUAUAUGUAGAUAUCCCCCCUCCCUAUAUAUGGAAAACAUACGCUAAUUGCAAACCAUAGUCUCUCAUAAUUAAUAAGAGUUGCAACAGUGUAACUGUGCUAUGUAAGUUAAUAUCCGUGAUUAGGGGCGCAUUGCACAAAUUUUAUCCUUCACAAGUGCGUAGGCCAGCGUUUGCUACCAUACAUUUCAACCACUGAAACUCAUGUGUGUACAAAACUAGGGAAAUGGAUUCUCUCUGGAUCAUUUCCACCAAAUUCACCAAGUUAACAAAUUCGAACCCUUGAAAUUUGAUCCAAUGACUAAAGUUAUUAUAACUUUUAAAGGAAGCUCACGUUUUUAGUUGUUGGAUCAAAUUUUAAAGGUCUGGAUUCGUUGACCUGGUAAAUUUGAUGGAAAGAAUCCGAAAAUGAUUCCUUUUCCAAAACUAGGAGCCCAAGGAUUUGACUAGUCACCCUUUGGAGUUGGCCCAUUCAAAAGUGCAAAUCCCUGAUAGCAAUCCUCCACGCCAACUGGUAAACUUUUAGCUUCCACACCACACUUUACUUAAGCAAGUUAUUAUUUGCUUAAUCAUGCUAUCUUUAAGUCAUUGAUCAAACCGGAAUAUUUCCUAAGACGCUAUAAUUCUUUCGAGAUAUUUCGAGAUUUGGUACGAAAGCGAACCAGGGGAAUGAAAAGGGUACUUGCAAGCCCAAGUCUAGCUUGGCUUAAAAAUCCCCUAACAAUGACAAAAAUGACAAAAAUGACCUCAAUUUAAUAAACAAUGUGCCGAAGUAAUUUGACAAAAAAUCGAGGGUAUUUUUGUCAUUUACAGCUUAUUUAAUGGAGGUUAUUUCUGGAAUGACCAAAAUAAUUGACGGUGGACAAACUCAGAGACCAAUUUUAUCGAUUUUAAAUCUCAUAGACCAAGGUGAUGAGUUAUGCCAAUCUCAAGGACUAUUUUUUGCUAAAAAGCCAUGUAUUGCAGCCAGUAAAUGCAUCUUCAAGCUGGGAAACAUCGAACGAAAUCAAUCGUGUUUAAUUGCAAGAAAUUGGUGGUUCAAAAUUCAAUCUUUUAAGAGGUUUAAGAGAUUUUUAUAUGUCUUCAUGAAUUUACAAUUUUUUUUCUUUUAUCUGAUAAAUUUUUCUGUCAUGAUUUGUGCAGUGUAGUUUAUGACUUGGGUUAUGAAACACCAAUAAUGUUACAAAAAUUACACCUUAAGAUACCAAUAAUCCAACAUAGAUAUAAAAUUUAAAACCAAUAAUAUAAUUAGUCUCCCAACUUAAUUAUAUAUACAAAAUGUAACAUUGAAAUCGAAAAAGAAAUGAAACAAAGUUUAAUCAGGGAAACAUGACAAUGUGUUGUGUCCCCUCAUUGUGUAUUUUUAAUCAGAUCCCUAAGCUGUUGAAGAAGUUGAUCAGUUGAGCAAUGUUCUUCUUUUGCUUAAAACAGUACAAAUACACUUCAAAUCGAAAAAAUAGUGUACUUGUGAUGCCAAAAAAAUCUGAUCUUUUGAGAACUCGUUCUUAAUAUCUUAGCAGCGUAUUAUUGGUGUUUAUUUGUUUAAGUUCAAUAGCGUGUCAAACGUAUGUUCGUUUUGUCCCAUGAAUGCAGGCAAGGGACAUCAUGAACAUUACUUGCAUUACAAGUUCCGCUACUUAGGUUGUUGCAAGAGGCACGGAUCUCCUUCCCAACAAUUGCCGAUGUGAUUUUAAUCUGGUGCAGAUUAAUGUUGGCACAACCUGGAUUCUCCGAGCAAUCAAACUUGAUCGCUUCUUCGGUUGCAGAAGUUCCAUGAAAACCAUUGUAUGUCACAUCGCUCACACUCACUGUCGAAGUCAGCAAAUUUUUUCAAAAAUGAUGACUUCGUUAAUACAACUAAUUUUGGUGAUAUUGAUAAAGGUUAAUUUGGUCCACAACUUUUAUUUAAAUGUGUAACUUAAAUGUGCACUUUUGAUGUGCACCUGGACUUACCAUUUUAUGUAAGUAGAAUAUGUUGACUAGUUCAUGGCCGACCAAGCCCACGUGAGUCGGGUUGUGAUGGGUCGACCCGUUUGACACCUUUAAAGCAACCUAAUCAUCUAGAAUCCAAAUAGUCAUGUAUCCUCCACAAAUGAACGGGUUAUAUUUAGGUACACAAUCUUAUCUUAUGAAGGUUUUCAAUGUACCCGAUCUGAUCAGAUUAAAAACUUUACCUUUUUGCCUUUUCACUUUAUAUAUGUAGAUAUCCCCCCCCUCCCGAUAUAGGGAAAACAUACGCUAAUUGCAAACCAUAGUCUCUCAUAAUUAAAAAGAGUUGCAACAAUGUAACUGUGCUAUGUAAGUUAAUAUCCGUGAUUAGGGCGCAUUGCAUUUAUUUUAUCCUUCACAAGUGCGUAGGCCAGCGUUUGCUACCAGACAUUUCAACCACUGAAACUCCUGUGUGUACAAAACUAGGGAAAUGGAUUCUCUCUGGAUCAUUUCCACCAAAUUCACCAAGUUAACAAAUUCGAACCCUUGAAAUUUGAUCCAAUGACUAAAGUUAUUAUAACUUUUAAAGAAAACUCACGUUUUUAGUUGUUGGAUCAAAUUUUAAAGAUCUGAAUUCGUUGACCUGGUAAAUUUGAUGGAAAUAAUUUGAAAAUGAUUCCUUUUCCAAAACUAGGAGCCCAAGGAUUUGACUAGUCACCCUUUGGAGUUGGCCCAUUCAAAAGUGCAAAUCCCUAAUAGCAAUCCUCCACGCCAACACCAAGUCAGCCAAAGCCAGGCAGGCCAAACAAAAACAAACAAACAAAAGAGGCCAAUCCUACCACAUGUUCCGCGAUGCUUCCAAAGACAGAAACCCCAGUACCCCACACUUGUCCCUCAAACCUUUCUCCCACCCACCUUCCCAAUCCUCCUUUUUCUACAAAACAACUUGGAAAUCUGAUUUGAUUAAGAUCUCAACUUAAUUUAGAUUAAUAGGUGGUCAUAAGACCACCAAUUCUCAAUUAUGUUACUUGUUUUACUCAACUACGGAUCCAUCAAUUUAUUUGAAACUUUCUCUCUUGUCGUAUCACAUUCUAUUUUGCGAUAUUUGAGACGUCAUACUUAUGAUUGUAGGAUCAAAACAUCAUGUGCUUUUUAUGAAAAAAAUUUCCCUACAUCAGCACGCUAUUGUGUGAGAAAGUUAUAACGUUUAAUAACAACACAAUGACAUCUCAAGAAGUUCUAAAGAUGCAAAUGUGACAAUAUUCUAAACCCAUUGCAAUUAUUGUUCGAGAAAAUUAAAACAUGUGUCAAUGUGCGAAUGACUUGUCACAAUUCUACAAUCACAUCCACAUACUUCUCGGAAAAAAAAAAUUCUGAAGAUUCAAUUGUGACAAUAUUCCAAGUCAAUCAUAAAUCGUGCAAUAACACAACAAAUUGCAAAUAGAUCCAAUCCUCAUUUCCUCCAAAAUACAAUUACAAAGGGAUUAUGAGAAUCCAAACAAAGUCUUUAGUAGAAGAUUACAUACUUGUCCCAUGAAACCUCCUCCCCCAAUGUCAUAAAACCAUCUCCUAAUAGAGAUGGCCACUUCUAUGAAGGAAACCAAAACAAACUUCUAUCCACAUAUAGAGAGAGAGAGAGAGAUAGACUUUACGCCUCCCACUCUCUCUCCUCUUCCCUUUUAUUCCUCUUAAUUUACAUAUACAUCUUUUGAGUUUACACAAAAAGACUCACCAUAAAUUAAACAUAUUAAGAUCAACUCACUUGACUUGUAUAUACAAAAAUUACACUCUCCAUCUCAAAGACCCCCCAAAAAACAUUAAUCUUCUUCCUCCUCCUCUUGAUAUUUUUCCCAAAGCACAAAGCCCUCUACUUUUCUCACAAAACUCUGCUUCUUCCAAAACAGAG